AUUCUUUCAAUUUACCAUAAGACUUCCUAAGAAGAUGUACAUUACAACACGCUCGGUAUAUACCAAUUGCUCCAAAUAGAUGUAUUUAGACCUUUAUUAUAACUAUUAAUAAUGGCAUAUGGUUAUAUAAAAUGCUUGCAUAUGCCCUCGUCUCUUGACAAUAUGGAAAAUGUUACUUAGUAUACAAUCCAAGGUAAAAUAAAUAAUGAGAAGUUAAUAAGGGGUGAAAGUGAAACAAACACAUUUAUUCAUCCAGUGAUGAAAUUCAUAGAUUAAUUAGAUUUUAUGAAACGAAAUUCCUAACACACAUCUCCUCAAUUCACCAUUUUUAAAUAAAUGGUUCCAUAUAUAUUAUUGAAUUAACUAAGAAGAUCAGGCCUGGUUCUUUCAACAGCCAAACAAGUGCUAAGCAAUUUCUUACUACCCUGAUAGAAAGUUGCAAAUUCAGCUGGCAUUGGUGUUUUCUUGAAUUCACCUUUACAAUCAUCCAAUCUUGUCAUUGCUGCUGAUAUUUUGAUGUUUGCACUUUUAGUUUUGUCACCUGUUUUCAACAACUCUUCUACCUCUUUCAAUGUCUCGAGAGCAUCAUUAUAUGAUUCUUUGCACCCUUUCCCAAUCUUAUUUUUUAAUUUUUGAUCUGUUGUUGGUGGCAAUUUUGCUAGCAUAUUUGCCAUAAUUGGCUCUGCCAAUUUAAUUUGCAUAAUUGUCUCUGACAACACACCAGUAAUUGCCUCUUGCCAUGUGUUAGCUGCCUUGACAACUUCAUUGCAAAAGGGCUUGUCUAAGGCUUUCACACAAAAUGGGCUUUCUUUGUAUGCUGGGGCUUCUUGUGCACUUGAUUGACAUGCAAAUAAAACACAAGUUAAAGCCAGAGAGACCAAUGACAAAGUAACCCCAUUUCUAUAAGACAUUUUCUAUUUUUUAUAUUGAUUUUUUUUUUUGCAAUUGUGAUUAUGUUUUUUUUUUUUUGUCACUUUUCUAAGAUGGUCUUCUCUGGGUUAAAUUUGAAAUGAAGAGGUAAAAAGUAUAUAUAAGUUUGUUUGGAACGGUAAUUGGGUGGAUGUUUGGAAUAUAUGGCUUGCAUUAUUUUGCUCUUUUGUUGUUGAAUUUUCCACAGCAUAAUGAGCACAUUUAUGAAUUAACUAGGAGUAGUUGUUUAUUCUCCCUCCGUUUAAAAAAGAAUAACCUACUUUGACUUGAUACAAAGUUUAAGAAAAAAAAAAAAACUUUUGAAUCUUGUGGCCUUAAAUUAAAGUUGUAUCAAAUGUAUCAAAAUGUCCUUUAAUCUUAUGAUCCUAAAUAUUAGAUAAAAUAUUAACCUAAAUAAUAAUAAUAAUAAUAAUAAUAAUAAUAAUAAUAAUAAUAAUAAUAAUAAUAAUAAUAAUAAUAAUAAUAAUAAUAAUAAUAAUAAUAAUUAGUAGAAAUUUACCAAAAAAAAUAGUAGAAGAAGCAGCAAUACAUGAGAUAUAAUAACAAUAAUAAUAAUAAUAUAAUAUUUUUAAAAAUUAAUAUUUUUAAUAAAAAAUGAUAAAAGAGAACAAAAAGGGAAAAAUAUAUGAAAAAUAAUAAUUAGUAGAAGUUUACCAAGAAAAAAAUAGUAGAAGAAGCAGCAAUACGUGGGAUAUAAUACUACUACUACUACUACUACUACUACUACUACUACUACUACUACUACUACUAAUAAUAAUAAUAAUAUAAGUAAAAAAUUAAUAUUAUAUGAAAAAAAUUAAAAUAAAUUGAUAGUAAUAUUUUAAUAUUGAUAACAUUAAUUUGAAAUAUUCUAUUUUAUUACAUUUAUUUUUAUUAUAGAAAAGUUAAUAUUUUUAAUAAAAAAUGAUAAAAUAAAAUAAAUAGGGAAAAAUAUGAAAAAAAUUAAAAUAAAUUGAUAGUAAUAUUUUAAUAUUGAUAACAUUAAUUUGAAAUAUUCUAUUUUAUUACAUUUAUUUUUAUUAUAGAAAACACCUAAUUGGUAUCAUUAAUUUCAAAUAUAUAAUUUUUGCAAACUCAAAAUAUCGAAUACUGUAAGAUAAUUAUGUCAUUUUAGAGUCAUCUUUCUAGUAUUCUAAAAAUUUUAAAAUCUUGAAUUUGAAAUGCAUUAUCUUUUUUUUCUAAAAUAAAAAAAAAUCAUUAUCAUUAACUUGAAAUUAGGAACAUAAGCUUAUCCCUUUCAAAUCCCUUUCAAAUAUAAUUUAAAAUAUAUUCAAAUAUUAAAUAAAAAAUAAAAUACUAAUCUAAAUAAUUUAUAUAUAUAUAAAAGCAAAACUAAAAGCAGACAAGAUGCCACAUGACAGCACAAUAGAAAGCCACAUGACAGUUUUUAAGACAAGGUUAUAAAUAUUGUAAUAAAAUUUUGAAUUAAAAUAUAAGAUGUUUGUAUUUAAAAAUAUUGAUUUUAUUUAAAAAUUAUCAUUAGCUUGAAAUUAGGAACAUAAGCUUAUCCCUUUCAAAUAUAAUUUAAAAUAUAUUCAAAUAUUAAAUAAAAAAUAAAAUAUUAACCUAAAUAAUAAUAAUAAUAAUUAGUAGAAGUUUACCAAGAAAAAAAUAGUAGAAGAAGGACCAGUACGUGAAAUAUAAUAAUAAUAAUAAUAAUAAUAAUAAUAAUAUAAGAUUUAAAAAAUUAAUAUUUUUAAUAAAAAAUGAUAAAAGAGAACAAAAAUGGAAAAACAUAUGAAAAAUAAUAAUUAGUAGAAGUUUACCAAUAAAAAAAUAGUAGAAGAAGUAGCAAUACGUGGGAAAUAAUAAUAAUAAUAAUAAUAAUAAUAAUAAUAAUAAUAUAAGUUAAAAAUUAAUAUUUUUAAUAAAAUAUGAUAAAAGAGAAUAAAAAGGGAAAAAUAUGAAAAAAGUUAAAAUAAAUUGAUAUUAAUAUUUUAAUAUCGAUAACAUUAAUUUGAAAUAUUUUGUUUUAUUAAAUUUAUUUUUCUCUAUAAUAUAUUACAAUUCAAAUUAAUCUCUAAAUAAUAUUAACUCAUUAUAAUUAUUUUCUAAAUUCUAUAAAUAUUUUGUUUCUAGUAGAAAACUAUUUUCCCCACAUUUAAACAUUUUUAUCAAAUUUUUUAAAUCAAAAUGAUGGGUAUUUUAGAUGACUAUAUAUCUUCGACAUGUUAGUAUCAUUGAGGUUAUACUUGAUUAAUGGUAAGGAUAUUUUAAUAUAUUUUUACAAAUUUUCAAUAAAUUAACACUACAAAAUUUGAGAGUUUUCAUUACUUUUUUUAUAUUUUAUUUUAUUAUGCCACAUAAAUUAAGAUGGGAUGAGAUGAUAAUUAGAAUAUAUCCAAAAUACAUAUAUUUUUUUAGUUAAAGUAUACAAAUAAAAAUAAAUGCGAAUACAAAAUCAAACAAAAGUCAAAGAAAUCAAAGCUGACCCAAAGCAAAUAAAGUAAAGGAUCGGAUUAUGGUCCAAUAAUUUUAAAAAUACAAGAAAAAUAUAAAUUAGGAAAGUAAACAAAUAUUAUUUGUUUUUGUCUGAACUCCAGAAGGUUCCUUUGAAAUUCUAUCUUUCCGCAAACAUUUUCUUUCUAUUAUGAUACUACAUAUUAUUUUAGCAAAAAAUUGAUGAAUAAGCUGAAAUUAUGAAGCUCAAAAUUAAACUUUUAUAGACCAAAUACUGAAGAGUAUGUUCCUACUAUAUUCAUUGAAUAACGGUGUGUCAAGCUUCGCUUGUAAUUCCAUCUUCUUUCCCUGUUUUCUUUAUUUUUGUUUACGCUUUAACCUGUUUGAAGAUUUGAUUUUCUUAACCGUUUUUUGCUUUAUAUUUUGUAUGUUUUGAUCUCUUAAAAUCACUGUUGCAUUAUAUGUUCUUAGUUUUGAUUUUUUGUUCCUCCUUUUGAUUUGUAUGUUCGAAGAUUUCAUUUUUUUAAAUUCAUUCUGAUUUAAUUUCUUGUUUCAGGUGCGAUUUGCUUGAUAUUUACAUAUAAUAUGUGUCAGGUAUGCUUAAUGUUGCCAAUUUUGAAUAUCCUGAUGUUUGCAUGUCAGCUCAGAUACUUGAAUUUGAGAAGAUACCAGAGGCCUCUAUCCUUUCAUCCCUUGGAUGGACCACGUCAAAUAAUAGAAGAUAUAUAUUUUUGUUAAAAAAAUACACAUCCUCAGAACUAUAUGUAAAUAAAACAACGAAUAACAUUAGAUGAUUGACUUUUAAUGUUGUUGAAUGCGUAGGUGAACGUCCAAUCAAAACCUUAAUCUACAUGCAUAUUUAAUAGCUAUGAGACUCCAUCGUUCGCCCUUACCAAUUAUCUGUUCUAUUUUUAAUUUUUAAUUAAUAAAACAUUCCUCAGCGCCGUCUAAGAAGUCCUAACAUACCUUGAAUGCUGAACACAUACCACGAACCCUCAAGAUUUCACCCUUUUCUUUCCCAAAAUUUCAAAACAUUCUCAAUCUAUCAAAUAUAUUAUUCAUAAGUAAGAGAAUUCAAUUUAUAAUUGAAUUUCAACCAUGAUAUCAUUUCACAUGUCAAUUUCAUAUUUUGUAAAUUUCAAACUUAGGGCUUCGUCUCAAGUUACUCCAAAUCUCAUACAUUUAACAAUGUUCAUAGAGUACAAUAUAUCUAAUAUUUAAUUACACAUGCUAAAUAUUAAAACUUAAAUCGUAAUAUGAUAACUAUAAGAAAAUCUGAAAUCAGAAAAUGAUACAGUACCUAAAAUAAUAAGUCAAUGCUUGAUUAUAUCCCUAUUUACAAGUUUCAUAAUAUCAGUUUUAACUAAUCAUUAGCUCAUGAUUUUCCAUCAUAAUCCCUUCAAUCAUUGUCCAUCCUUAGCCAUCCAAAAACUGGCUAAGUUUUCCAUCCAAAAAAAGUGUGUUGCACUUCUGUCACUUCCACACAACCAUUACUUAGAGUUAUACAUUCAAAUCAAUAUAAGAAAUAAUUAUGUGUAUACAUUUUAGCAGUUAGUGUAUAUGAACAGAAAUUUGAGGUUUGAUUAGAUUCAUCUGAAACAACAAUUUUAAAUUUUUACAACUAUUUUCGUCCGUCUUCUCUUGCAUUCAGAUAAAUUUAGUAUAUAAAUUUUUACUUGAUAUAUUAAUUAUAUUAAAGUACAAUAAAGAAUAGACAAAUCAAACAUAUAUCUUUGUAAAAAGAAAGUACUUGUUUUAUAAUUAUAUGAAAAUACAACAAAGGAUAGCAUGUGUUUCCUACCCUUUUAAUAUUGAUGAAUGCACAGAUAGUCGUUCAAGAAAAAUCCAAACCUAGAAGUACACCUAAUAUCUGCAACGACAACAAUCUAACUACCCGGAGAACUUACCCUUACCCUACAAUUAGUAUUCUUAUCGGGUAAGAGAUUAUUUAAUAGAUUCUCAGCUUAAGAAAUAAUAAUAUUAAUAAUUAAAAAAAUUAAAGAAUAAAUUAACAAACUUACCGCAAAAUUUGUACUAACCUAAAAUAGUUGUCAUCACAAUAUUUUGCGGAGAAAUUUUGACUUUUUGAGAGUCGUCACUUAAUUUCUGAAAAGGAAUUAAGAAACCUUUAGAGAGUUACUUCAAACAAUUCAAAACAGGAAAACGUUUGAGUUUUGAAGAUUCUGAGUAAGCAGUUCCUAUUAACAUUUUAGGAAGGUGUUAGGCACCUAAAACGUCCGCUAACUUGCGGUUAUCCAAUUUGUUUGAAAAUCAUCUCUUUUGACAAACUUGAAAAUCGACUUGUGGGAAAAGUAAUUGAUUAAGGAAAUUUUUUUUUGCAAAAUCAGUUUUUUAGCGACUUAGUGAGGAGGUUAACUAUAUUCGAACACUAAGCAAAUAAAAUAACGAAAGAGAAAUAGAGGAAGAAAUAAAUGAUUUGGGCCUUCAUACCCAAAUCCGUCACCCUGUCUUAGUCUAGAUAUUGGGCUUUCGGCCCGUCUUUCACCUGUCCUAGUCUGUAUUUCGAGCCUUUGGCUUUAGUAUUGCUCCACCUGUAUUAAAUUUACAACUUUGACUUCGAGGCCCAAAUGAAUGAAUGAAUGAAUAAAUAAAUAAAUAAAUAAAUAAAUAAAUAAAUAAAUAAGUAAAUAAAUAAAUAAAAGACGAUAAUAAAUUUAUAAAAUGAAAUAAUAAAUGAGACUUUUAUCUCUUAACCACUUCAAAGAUGGAACUUUAACUCAUUCUUCUUCUUUUGACUCUUUACACUCAUAUGCCGCGGAAAACGCUUUAGACUUCUUUUGGGCUUUAACUCGAAAUUAAUCACUUAUUUCUGCAGCUCAUGAUUUCUUAAAGUCGAGUUUAAGGAAUGGUCUAAAACAAAAUUAGUGGCUUUGAUACCAUUUCAAAGAGUCUAAUCACAAAUCUUAAAUAAUUUGUGAAGUUAUCCCCGACCAUUAUAAGUCCCUUCAAAAUUCUUACUGUUCUGUCUCUGUUUUGCUUCAAGCAUUUAAUUUAUAAAAUUAACUAGCUUGAUUAAAUUAAUUACAUACAGUAGGAGGUUUAAUUUUAGAGCUCUCAAAUAUUGAAGAAGAUCCAAAUUUCUAAAAAUCAAAUUUGAGACCUCUAUCUAAUAAGGUAUUAGAAACCUUUAAUUAGCCAUAUGAGUCAUCAACCCUUUGGUAGCACUAGACUUCUUAUUGUGAGCUAAGUUCAAAGUAUAUUUGAUAUCAACACAAUAAUUUUAGAGAACUCUCAUGUUCUUUUUUCUCACAAUUAAAAUUAGGAUUAGAUUGUGGUAUAGAAUAAUCCGAUAUACUGUAACAAUCACUAUCAAUUAGUUAGUAAUACAGGUCAAAGAGGUAUCUUAGCAUUCGAGGACAUGAAGACGUGAGGGAACACCUGAGCUUGUGGAGCUGCCUAACCAAGGAACAAGCUUUGAAGUGUAGAGAACAAGUCCCAGCACUCCAAAGCUGUCCAAGAAGUCAAGCCCCUUUGUUUGGGCUCAUUAAGGACCUUUAGGUCAUUUAUGUAACAAGUGUUGCCCUAACUUAUAAAUAGAACAAUUGGAUCAUUUUGUCAUUUAGACUUUGAUGAUAUGUUUUGAGAGCACCAUAGAGUGUCUUGUAAAGUGGAAUCCUUGUGUUGGUAACUUGCUUAGAAACGUUGGUUGUUUGGGGAUUCCAGUUCCCUUGAGUUCACGUAAGAGAUAGGUUUAUGUUGUGUGUGGUAUUAAAGGUUCAAGAGUAGAAUAAGGUCUUAGGUUGUUAAUAUUACAUCUCCAUUUGUCUAUCUUUCUAUCUUUACUUUGUUCUAAUUGUUGGUCUUCUUGUUCUAGUAUUGUAACCCGUGACUUGUUGUCAUUGUUAUAUCCUUCUUGUUAUUCAUCUGGUCUUCAUAUUGUUGUUGUUAAUCUUACUUUGGGUUGGUUGUUUCGGUGUUAAAACACACCUUUUACUCGUCAUUAUUGUUGUUAUUGUUGAAUCCGAGUGUGGUCUCUAAACGGUCCUUGAAUUUUCGGAUUUGUGGACUGUUUUGAGUGUGUUUUCUUGUAUUCUUGAUAAUUCCGGGAUCGGUUAGUGAGUCUAGCUUCGGUUUGUACACGUGAGUUCUCAUUAUAUGAUUUAUUAUGUGUGAUCUAAUAAAAUUAGACUAAAUUACGUGUAUUCUUUCAAUUUACCAUAAGACUUCCUAAGAAGAUGUACAUUACAACACGCUCGGUAUAUACCAAUUGCUCCAAAUAGAUGUAUUUAGACCUUUAUUAUAACUAUUAAUAAUGGCAUAUGGUUAUAUAAAAUGCUUGCAUAUGCCCUCGUCUCUUGACAAUAUGGAAAAUGUUACUUAGUAUACAAUCCAAGGUAAAAUAAAUAAUGAGAAGUUAAUAAGGGGUGAAAGUGAAACAAACACAUUUAUUCAUCCAGUGAUGAAAUUCAUAGAUUAAUUAGAUUUUAUGAAACGAAAUUCCUAACACACAUCUCCUCAAUUCACCAUUUUUAAAUAAAUGGUUCCAUAUAUAUUAUUGAAUUAACUAAGAAGAUCAGGCCUGGUUCUUUCAACAGCCAAACAAGUGCUAAGCAAUUUCUUACUACCCUGAUAGAAAGUUGCAAAUUCAGCUGGCAUUGGUGUUUUCUUGAAUUCACCUUUACAAUCAUCCAAUCUUGUCAUUGCUGCUGAUAUUUUGAUGUUUGCACUUUUAGUUUUGUCACCUGUUUUCAACAACUCUUCUACCUCUUUCAAUGUCUCGAGAGCAUCAUUAUAUGAUUCUUUGCACCCUUUCCCAAUCUUAUUUUUUAAUUUUUGAUCUGUUGUUGGUGGCAAUUUUGCUAGCAUAUUUGCCAUAAUUGGCUCUGCCAAUUUAAUUUGCAUAAUUGUCUCUGACAACACACCAGUAAUUGCCUCUUGCCAUGUGUUAGCUGCCUUGACAACUUCAUUGCAAAAGGGCUUGUCUAAGGCUUUCACACAAAAUGGGCUUUCUUUGUAUGCUGGGGCUUCUUGUGCACUUGAUUGACAUGCAAAUAAAACACAAGUUAAAGCCAGAGAGACCAAUGACAAAGUAACCCCAUUUCUAUAAGACAUUUUCUAUUUUUUAUAUUGAUUUUUUUUUUUGCAAUUGUGAUUAUGUUUUUUUUUUUUUGUCACUUUUCUAAGAUGGUCUUCUCUGGGUUAAAUUUGAAAUGAAGAGGUAAAAAGUAUAUAUAAGUUUGUUUGGAACGGUAAUUGGGUGGAUGUUUGGAAUAUAUGGCUUGCAUUAUUUUGCUCUUUUGUUGUUGAAUUUUCCACAGCAUAAUGAGCACAUUUAUGAAUUAACUAGGAGUAGUUGUUUAUUCUCCCUCCGUUUAAAAAAGAAUAACCUACUUUGACUUGAUACAAAGUUUAAGAAAAAAAAAAAAACUUUUGAAUCUUGUGGCCUUAAAUUAAAGUUGUAUCAAAUGUACCAAAAUGUCUUUUAAUUUUGUGGCCCUAAAUAUGUCAUUCAUGUGUAAAGUUAAAAUUAAAGUAUUAUAAAAAAAGUAAAAAAAUCAUUCAUUUUGAAACGGACUAAAAAGAAAAGUAAUCUCGGAGUAAGCUCUUUUCCAUGGACAAGGUCAUUCAAUUUUAAAGGAAGGGAGUAUUUGUUUUCCUUCUUCGUAUAACUUGUUUGACCACUUCUUUGCGUAAAACACGAACCGUGUUUUUCGGUAUAUUUUACUUCUAAUAUGAUGGUGGGGCUGAGGGAAAAAAAAGAAAGAAAGGGUGAUUUGUGGAAGAGGUAAUAUCAAAAGAAAAAAGGAUAAAAAAAAAAAAUGGGAAAAAACGCAAAUUUAGGAAGAUAAAGAGGGUCACAUCUAUAUAUAUUAUAUGUAUAAAAGUAAAAUUAAAAGAAGACAUGAUGCCACAUGACAACAAUAGAAAGCCACGUGGCAAUUUUUAGGACAAGGUUAUAAACAUUGUAAUAUAUUUGUAUUUAAAAAAUUAUCAUUAGCUUGAAAUUAGGAACAUAAGCUUGUCCCUUUCAAAUCUCUUUCAAAUAUAAUUUAAAAUAUAUUCAAAUAUUAACCUAAAUAAUAAUAAUAAUAAUAAUAAUAAUUAAUAGAAGUUUAGCAAAAAAAAUAGUAGAAGAAGCACCAAUACAUGAGAUAUAAUAACAAUGAUAAUAAUAAUAGUAAUAUAAUAUUUUUAAAAAUUAAUAUUUUUAAUAAAAAAUGAUAAAAGAGAACAAAAAGGAAAAAAUAUAUGAAAAAUAAUAAUUAGUAGAAGUUUACCAAGAAAAAAAUAGUAGAAGAAGCAUCAAUACGCGGGAAAUAAUAAUAAUAAUAAUAAUAAUAAUAAUAAUAAUAAUAAUAAUAAUAAUAAUAAUAAUAAUAAUAAUAAUAAUAAUAAUAAUAAUAAUAAUAAUAAUAAUAAUAAUAAUAAUAAUAAUAAUAAUAAUAAUAAUAAUAUAAGUAAAAAUUUAAUAUUUUUAAUAAAAAAUGAUAAAAGAAAAUAAAUAGGUAAAAAUAUGAAAAAAAUUAAAAUUAAUUGAUAGUAAUAUUUUAAUAUUGAUAACAUUAAUUUGAAAUAUUCUAUUUUAUUACAUUUAUUUUUAUUAUAUAAAACACCUAAUUGGUAUCAUUAAUUUCAAAUAUAUAUUUUUUGUAAACUCAAAAUAUCGAAUACUGUAAGAUAAUUAUGUCAUUUUAGAGUCAUCUUUCUAGGAUUCUAAAAAUUUUAAAAUCUUGAAUUUGAAAUGCAUUAUCUUUUUUUUCUAAAAUAAAAAAAAAUCAUUAUCAUUAACUUGAAAUUAGGAACAUAAGCUUAUCCCUUUCAAAUCCCUUUCAAAUAUAAUUUAAAAUAUAUUCAAAUAUUAAAUAAAAANNNNNNNNNNNNNNNNNNNNNNNNNNNNNNNNNNNNNNNNNNNNNNNNNNNNNNNNNNNNNNNNNNNNNNNNNNNNNNNNNNNNNNNNNNNNNNNNNNNNNNNNNNNNNNNNNNNNNNNNNNNNNNNNNNNNNNNNNNNNNNNNNNNNNNNNNNNNNNNNNNNNNNNNNNNNNNNNNNNNNNNNNNNNNNNNNNNNNNNNNNNNNNNNNNNNNNNNNNNNNNNNNNNNNNNNNNNNNNNNNNNNNNNNNNNNNNNNNNNNNNNNNNNNNNNNNNNNNNNNNNNNNNNNNNNNNNNNNNNNNNNNNNNNNNNNNNNNNNNNNNNNNNNNNNNNNNNNNNNNNNNNNNNNNNNNNNNNNNNNNNNNNNNNNNNNNNNNNNNNNNNNNNNNNNNNNNNNNNNNNNNNNNNNNNNNNNNNNNNNNNNNNNNNNNNNNNNNNNNNNNNNNNNNNNNNNNNNNNNNNNNNNNNNNNNNNNNNNNNNNNNNNNNNNNNNNNNNNNNNNNNNNNNNNNNNNNNNNNNNNNNNNNNNNNNNNNNNNNNNNNNNNNNNNNNNNNNNNNNNNNNNNNNNNNNNNNNNNNNNNNNNNNNNNNNNNNNNNNNNNNNNNNNNNCGUGUAUCAUAAAUUAUAUAUAUAUAUAUAUAUAUAUAUAUAUAUAUAUAAAAUGUAUAUAUAUUGUAUGUGUGUGUAUAGGACGACAUAUUUCUCCCACCAUAGAAAAAUAUCAGAGUCCUAAAAUAUUAGAGAAUGUUUUGUUAUUAAUAAGCAACAUUAAAUAAAAAUUUUAAAAUCACGUUCAAAUUAUUUUUCAAAAGUUUAUUACUUGUUUCAAUUCAUUCUAUUUUAUUUUUUCGUAUAAAUUGAAAUUGAAUUAAAUUAAUCUCUAAAUAGUAUUUAUCUAUUAUACUUAUUUUUAAAAUUUUAUAACAAUUUGUUUUUAAUAGAGAAGCAUUUCUUUUCUCGUACUUCAACAUAUUCUUUUCAAAAUAAAAAAGAAGUUUAUUUUAGAUGAUGAUACAUUGUGGACAUGCUAGCGUCAUUGAAGUUAUGCUUUAUUAAUGUUAAGGUUUGUUUAAUAUAUUCAUGUAUUUUUAACUUAUGAAAUAUUUUUUUUAUAAAAGUGCAUUAAUAAAUUAUUAUUAAACAUUAUUAAUAAGCAUGACUAAAUAAAUUAAUGCAUAAAAUUAUCUUCAAAACUUUUUUUCUUCAAAUGAAAAAAGGACCAAAAAUAUUUUUUGUGUUUCAAUUCAUACUAUUUAAUUUUUUCUCUAUAAUAUAUUACAAUUCAAAUUAAUCUCUAAAUAAUAUUAACUCAUUAUAAUUAUUUUCUAAAUUCUAUAAAUAUUUUGUUUCUAGUAGAAAACUAUUUUCCCCACAUUUAAACAUUUUUAUCAAAUUUUUAAAAUCAAAAUGAAGGGUAUUUUAGAUGACUAUAUAUCUUUGACAUGUUAGUAUCAUUGAGGUUAUACUUGAUUAAUGGUAAGGAUAUUUUAAUAUAUUUUUAUAAAUUUUCAAUAAAUUAACACUACAAAAUUUGAAAGUAUUCAUUACUUUUUUUAUAUUUUAUUUUAUUAUGCCACAUAAAUUAAGAUGGGAUGAGAUGAUAAUUAGAAGAUAUCCAAAAUACAUAUAUUUUUUUAGUUAAAGUAUACAAAUAAAAAUAAAUGCGAAUAUAGAAUCAAACAGAAGUCAAAGAAAUCAAAGCUGACCCAAAGCAAAUAAAGUAAAGGGUUGGAUUAGGGUCCAAUAAUUUUAAAAAUACAAGAAAAAUAUAAAUUAGGAAAGUAAACAAAUAUUAUUUGUUUUUGUCUGAACUCCAGAAGGUUCCUUUGAAAUUCUAUCUUUCCGCAAACAUUUUCUUUCUAUUAUGAUACUACAUAUUAUUUUAGCGAAAAAUUGAUGAAUAAGCUGAAAUUAUGAAGCUCAAAAUUGAACUUUUAUAGACCAAAUAUUGAAAAGUAUGUUCCUACUAUAUUCAUUGAAUAACGGUGUAUCAAGCUUCGCUUGUAAUCCAUCUUCUUUCCCUGUUUCCUUUAUUUUUGUUUACGCUUUAACCCAUUUGAAGAUUUGAUUUUCUUAACCCUUUUUUGCUUUACAUUUUGUAUGUUUUGAUCUCUUAAAACCACUGUUGCAUUAUAUGUUUUUAGUUUUGAUUUUUUGUUCCUCCUUUUGAUUUGUAUGUUCGAAGAUUUCAUUUUUUUAAAUUCAUUCUGAUUUAAUUUCUUGUUUCAGGUGCGAUUUGCUUGAUAUUUACAUAUAAUAUGUGUCAGGUAUGCUUAAUGUUGUCAAUUUUGAAUAUCCUGAUGUUUGCAUGUCAGCUCAGAUACUUGAAUUUAGAAGAUACCAGAGGCCUCUAUCUUUUCAUCCCUUGGAUGGACCACAGAAAUUUGAACUUUGAUUAGAUUCAUCUGAAACAAUAAUUUUAAAUUUUUACAACUAUUUUCGUGCGUCUUCUCUUGCAUUCAGAUAAAUUGAGUAUAUAAAUUUUUACUUGAUAUAUUAAUUAAAUGAAAGUACAAUAAAGAAAAGACAAAUCAAACAUAUAUCUUUGUAACAAGAAAGUACUUGUUUUGUAAUUAUAUGAAAAUACAACAAAGGAUAGCAUGUGUUUCCUACCCUUUUAAUAUUGAUGAAUGCACAAAAAAAUUCAAACCUAGAAGCACACCUAAUAUCUGCAACGACAACAAUCUAACUACCCGGAGAACUUACCCCUACCCUACAAUUAGUAUUCUUAUCGAGUAAGAGAUUAUUUAAUAGAUUCUCAACUUAAGAAAUAAUAAUAAUAAUAAUUAAAAAAAAUUAAAGAAUAAAUUAACAAACUUACCACAAAAUUUGUACUAACCUAAAAUAGUUGUCAUCACAAUAUUUUGCGGAGAAAUUUUGACUUUUUGAGAGUCGUCACUUAAUUUCUGAAAAGGAAUUAAGAAACCUUUAGAGAGUUACUUCAAACAAUUCAAAAUAGGAAAACGUUUGAGUUUUGAAGAUUCUGGGUAAGCGGUUCCUAUUAACAUUUUAGGAAGGUGUUAUGCACCUAAAACGUCCGCUAACUUGCGGUUAUUCGAUUUGUUUGAAAAUCAUCUCUUUUGACAAACUUGGAAAAUCGACUUGUGGGAAAAGUAAUUGAUUAAGGAAAUUUUUUUUACAAAAUCAGUUUUUCAGCGACUUAGUUAGGGAGUUAACUAGAUUCGAACACUAAGCAAAUAAAAUAACGAAAGAAAAAUAGAGGAAGAAAUAAAUGAUUUGGGCCUUCAUGCCCAAAUCCGUCACCCUGUCUUAGUCUAGAUAUUGGGCCUUCGGCCAGUCUUUCACCUGUCCUAGUCUGUAUUUCGAGCCUUUGGCUCUAGUAUUGCUCCACCUGUAUUAAAUUUACAACUUUGGCUUCGGGGCCCAAAUGAAUGAAUGAAUAAAUAAAUAAGUAAAUAAGUAAAUAAAUAAAAGGCGAUAAUAAAUAUAUAAAAUGAAAUAAUAAAUGAGACUUUUGUCUCUUAACCGCUUCAAAGAUGGAACUUUAACUCAUUCUUCUUCUUUUGACUCUUUACACCCAUAUGCCGCGGAAAACGCUUUAGACUUCUUUUGGGCUUUGACUCGAAAGCUGGGCUCCAUUGGCCCAUGAUGAAUGCACGAAGGCAAAGUAGUCCGGGUAGGACUCGAAUGAUUUCCAUGCAAAAAUAAAAGUAAGACACAUUAACACAUAUAAAAGAAAAAAAAUAGGAGGAAAAAUGAAGGAAGUCGGCAUAUGAUAAAUCAAAACAAAACAGAAAAUAUAAAUAAAAUAAAUAAGAGAUGGUCAUUACAAUGUCGACCAAAGAAUAUGAAGAAAGUUAAUCCAUAGUUAACUAUAGACAACGGUAUAACAUAGUUCUUAAAUGUUCAAAAGCCGAUCACAAAAAACAAUAGGACAUGUUCAUAUCAAUUUAAUAGUGAAAGGUGAAAUUAAAACAAUGGACUUUAUAUUUGAAAUAAUCCAACGUUCCUAAAAAAUGGCAAGAAGAUUUAAAAUCACAUACGCCGAGCAUGUUACACUUUGGAAUAGUCAUUUUAAUCAAGUAGACAUAAGACAAAACCGACUUCGAGAAUUCCUAUUGAAGGAAAAAGACCAAAGUAUCUAGGCGGAAGUUAAUUGAUUCAACCAAAGAUUCAUUCUUGGAAGUAAAGCUAUACAUUGGGCAAGUUAAUUUUAAUAUUUCAGAGAGAAGCGAAUAAGCUUUAUCCUUAUACAUAUUCAAACAUCAAACGAGAAUCUUUGAGAAAUAGAAGAAGGAAGAAUUGAUGAAGAACGUCUUAACCAAAGAAAUAACCGAUCAGGCACUUAUGAGAAUGAUGUACAAAUAAGUCUUUUACAGAUUCAAACCUAAAAUACACAUGGCUACGUCCAAACGUUAUUGCUCAACUAACAAUUUUCCAGGAAGGUAGCAGAAAAACAAGUUCAAAGAAUUUAUGACACCACUUCAAAGAAUCAUAAGCAUCAAAGAAAACUUUGCUUUAUAAGCAACAAAUAUGCUAGAAAACCUUGAUUAAAAGAGGUGAGAUUCCAACAGUUGUUCGUGAAACUUGUACCGAAAAACUAGCGACAAUCAGAACCAAAUGAACAUGGACAUUAAACGAGCCAACUAAACAAGGAAGGAAUCGAGUCCAAAAUAAAACAGAACCUAUUUAUCCAGAUUGCCAGGGAGACAACGGAUCAUUAUACGAAAUGCUCCAAUAAAUAAAUGUGAUGAAGUAAUUUCCACAAUUCAACUUUAACCGCGCAAAUACUACUAUCUUUAGGCUACUGUUAGGCUCAAUACGAGAGACUAUGCUGGGUCAGGAAGUCUGUUUUUAUAUUAAAAGCACAACAGGCAUACAGACACAGAUAAAGAUGUCAAGGACACGUUUCAACAAAAUGGAUUAACACCAGAAAGGACAUUGGUACUGAAUAGGGGCAUCAAAAACCUUCAAAGCUCUAUCUUACUUAUAAACAAGUCCUAUAUCUCAGAAUAUAUUCACUAUCAUAAUGAAAAUAAAUAAUAGUCUUCAGUAACAACACGCACGAUAGAUCCAAGCAAAAAGAGAUACUAGAACCAAAUCACUACAGCAAAAGGGAAACAUUGAUUCAAACAAGCAUCAUAACAAUUCAUUUCACAUGCAAAUCCUAUGGCUUUCAAAGCCUCUACAACACACAAUCCCAGCCUCAUUCACGCUUACGACUAAACCACUAUCUCUAUGAACAAAAGAGAUAAAGAAGAAAAUGAUAAAUUAAAAAGUGAAAGAUUAGAUUUACCUCUUUAAGGGCAGCAAAAUGAGACUCGAGCUUCGUUCAGAAUCACAACCACAAGAAAAACAUCAUAAUCGUCACCUCGAGACUCCAAUUAGUUGACGAAUCCACGAAUGGAAUUUUACUAAAGGGAACUGACUUGUGAUCCCUGAGUUUUCUUUUAUCCCAUUUCUUUUGCUUUCAAAGAGAAGAGAAUCUCCCUCGACCCUUUUCUCGACCCAAAGAAAAAAAUCCUCAGCCGAGCUUUAUCAACCAAUCUCCCAACACCCAAAAUUUCCAAAAAAAAAUUCCUUUUUCUUUCUCCUAAAACUUCGAAUCCAAAAGAGAAAGACCAAAAAAAUCCCCUCCUUCAACAAUGACCCAAAUGGGUUCUUAUAUAGAAGACCUAAUUAGGGGUAUUUUGGGACUUGAAAAAUAGAAUAUUUUUUGAAUUUUUGGGUUUUGAAUAAGAUUUUCCGUUCAAGAUGGGUACUAAUUUGGAAAUUUUCUCUAGCAAUUCAAAAUAAUUAGCCAAUAAGGGAUGAGGAAUCAAAAUUCCCUCAUACCAAUCAAAAAUCGUUAAAAAUAUAUGAAUCUGUAUCGAUUAUUCUGAGAUUCGAGGAUUUGAGCCAUUGGGGGUGACACCUAGCUUGUUUCCAGAAGGUUCGAGACUGAUUUUGUAUCAAAUAUCAUGCUAAUCACGUAAGAAGGUACGAAUUUGAGUGAAGAGGAAGGCGUUUGGACGAGAACCAGCUGGUUCGAGUUUUCUUGGUCGAUUUUGGAUGAAAUCGGGUUGGGUAAUGGUUGUCUGCAUAUGUUGCUAUUAUCGAUGGUUUAUAGUCGGGUUGCGGUCGGGGGGCGUCAAGAGGAUGGGUUCACCAGAUUUUUGGUUGGGGGUUUAUUGAAUUUGGGUAGUUGACGGGUUUGAAUGUAUUGAGAUGGCUGGUGUUGUUUUGAGGAGGAAGAGAGAUUGAUGAAGGGUAUUGGGCUGGGUAUUGAUUAGUUUUGGGCCUGGGGUCGCUGAGUUAUUUUGUUUGCUUGGGCUGGGGCGGUUUAAGUGUGUUUUGGGAAUUAAAAUUGGGAUAUUGAAUUACAACUUAGGCCAUUUCAUUUAAAUUCUAGCCAAAUUGAAUAACGAUUGGCUAAUUGUAUCACAAUUGGGGCCAAUUUGACUUCAAUUGAAGUUAAAUUUAAUUAAUGGACCAAAUAGAAUCGCAAUCCGAUACGAAUUAAGUGACAAAUUAAUCCCGAGUUUAUCGAUUUGAUAAAAAUCAAAUAAAUAUUCCUCCAAAUACAAUAAUUUGAGGACAAAUCACAUUUAAAAUCAAGACUUUAUUUGGUUGGAUUAAUUUUCAAGUUUAAUCAAUAAAGUCUAAUUUUGAUAAAAAAAAUGUUCAUUUAAAUAACAAAAUUUAUACAAUCUUGUAUAUGUAAAGACGAAAACGUUUAAUCGUUAAUUAAAUGAUAAAAUUAACUCAAAUAAAUAUUUUAAAUUUCAUUUAUUUGAAUAAAAUAAUUGUUGUGAUUUUAUUUUAAAAUUGAAGAAACUCAAAAUUAAAUUGGGUUGUGGAGGGCAAAAAUUAGGUGUCAACAACUGCCCCUCCCUUUGGGUAGAAUGAAUGCAAGUAAUUCUGGGCAAAGGGAGGUUGGCGUUCCUAACUUUUAUCCGACCACAAAUUCAAAUCUGAAAGAGGUUGGUUUUUGCAUGAGUUUCAUGGAGUUAUGGCCGGACCUCGGUAUCAGGGUUCCUAUAUAUCUCAGGUUACAUAAGAAUUCAUGCCACUUGUUGUUCAUAAAGCUUGAUUUUAAGCACGAUUUUCAAGAGAAUUCUCCAGCUAUCUUGGUUUUGGAGUUUUUUGGUUAAACUGAGAAGCUGGGGAAUAAAGGGAUUUGCGGGAGGUUGGAAUGCAGUCGAGUUUUCUACAUAGAGUUCGGCCUACAUAUCCCUAAGAUUUUUGAGAAUCAGACUGCUUGUAGUUCGACUCGAUCAAUAUAAAAGAUAGUCUUCUAUUUCAAAUAAUCUUUGGCUCGGGAUGAGUGACAAGUUAAUGAGUUGCGGAAAAGAAGCUUGUAACCUAUUAACCAUGAAUGUGGGAUCCUUCACAUCCAUAGUCAAGAACUUACCUGUACAUAAUUUGCAAAACUUUAGGUAUCCUAUCACUCGAAUUUGAAAGAAAGGGAAGACUACCCUCGAUGUAAGUUUAGAAGUAUCUCGAAGACAAAGUUGAAACAAGAAUAUCCCGUAAUAACCCCAUGCCUUCUAAUAGGGGUGUGGUUAUAUGGUGGUGGUGAUCAUCCUUUAGCUUGCGUCCAGAGAGUUUGACAUCCCUCUCUAGACUAUGUCCCAUUUUGCUGCUAAAAAAGAGUUCCAUAUUGUUCUGCGUCCUAUCUGAAGUCGUCCACACCUGUGGUUUUGAUUUGAUAUUUUCAUCCUCUCUGAUGCUCUCGACAAUGCUUCAAGCAAGAAGUGUUAGUGCUAAACAUAAUUCGCGAAAGAGGUAUGUAGUCUUUUACCAUAUCUCCACAUGAGUUGUGGCCUGAAAAACGGAGUCAUCUCUUUAUGUACCUGUUUGAAAUAAAAUAACUGGCAACAAAAAACACAACAACCCUCUUGGUUGUUGUAUAAUUAUGACAUUUGUCGGUUAAAUAUGUCUUCAAAGUGGGGUGGCCUUUUUGGACACCGACGAUACUUUACGCAGAACGGUCCAUACAACCGUGUAAUCUUGUGCUGUUGUGGCAACCCUUUUGGUUACCUAUAUCACUCAUUGUAUGUGGAACGAUAACCUCUUUGGUUAUAGCCGUUGAUCGAUUUAUAAAUUUCCCUUAAAUUUCCAAUUUUUGGAUAAUCUUGCACAUUAUUUGAUGUUGGAUACGAAGCGACUUAUAGAUAUCCUUUGAAUUGCUAGCUUUUAGGUAAUCCUGCACAUUAUCCGACACUAGAUAAGAGAUGGCUUAAAGAUAUCCCUCCAAUCGCUAUCUUUUAGGUGUUCCUGCACAUCAUCCAACCUUGGAUACAAUAUGACCUAUAGAUAUCACUCAAAUUGCUAGUCCUUGGGUAAUCCUACACAUAAUCGAUCUUGGAUAUGAUGCGGCUUAUAGAGAACCCUUGGACAUAUUAAUUUGAUAAUCUCGCCAUAUUCUCCGGUAAGGAUUUAGUUGCGACUUAUGGAUAACCUUCAGACUAUCGAUUUUUGGGUGAUCUUGCACACUAUCCGGUUAUGAUGUUGUUGUGGCUUACGGAUGACCUACAGUCUAUCAAUUCAUAGGUGAUCUUGCACACUAUCCUAUUUCAAAUAAUAUGGCUUAUAGAUGACCCUCAAAUUAUCAAUUUCUAGAAAAUAUUAUAUAUCAUUCAUCCUUAGAUAGCGACUUAAAGGUGUCCCUUCAAAUCGUGUGCUCUUGAUGCAUUCAGAUGCUGAUUCAUAAAAUGAUGAGAUAUCUUUGAUGCCAGCAUUUGUGUCUAGCGUGUCAACAGUUAUUAAAUGAUGAUGAUAUCCUCAACGCCAGCAUUCAUGUCUCGCGUGUCAACAGAUAUUAAAUGCUGAUGAUAUCCUUGACGCCAGUGUUUUUGUCUCGCAUGUCAACAGAUAUGAGUUGAUGAUGAUAUCCUCGACGCUAGCAUUUAUGUCUCGCAUGUCAACAGAUAUUAAAUAUUGAUGAUAUCCUCGAUGUCAACGUUUAUGUCUUGCGUGUCAACAGUUAUAAAAUGGCCCUCUCGGCAAAUGAUAUGAAUGGCCCUCUUGGCAAUGAUAUGCAAUGUCCCUCUUGGCAAUGAUAUGAAAUAGCCCUCUUGGCAAUGAUAUGCGAUGACCCUCUUGGCAAUGAUAUGCAAUGGCCCUCUUGGCAAUUUGAAAACAUUUUCACCUAAGUUUGUUUGUCUACGUCUUUCCUUAUACAUGUACCCGUACUUGAAAUAGACGUUUAGUAGACACCAAGUCGCUUUUUCUAGCGACCAAUUUUUAGAAAAAUUCUAAAUACAAUGUUCACAAAGAAAAGAAGACACCUUUGUUUGUUCUUCAUGAUCUCAAGAAAUGAAAUGGACAAUUCAAAUGGUCCUCGAUAAAUGGGUAUUAAACCCAUUUUUGGGCUACUCAAAAAUACCGUUCUUAAGAAUUAUAUGCUCUGACAUGGCUCCCGACUUUCUUGGGGAUUUUUUAAAAGAAACUUUCAUUUUUGUGUAUUGGUCCCUGCAUCCACAGCAAAAUGAUUACUUUAAGUGAAACUACUCCGUGUUGACCUUCUUCGAUUCUCCAUUUGUUCUACGCCAUCUUUUGGGUACUCUGUCAUGUUGGGACUUCUACCCCUGACUCCUCGUCCUAAUUGAUGUCUAGACAAUCACUAAGUAAAAUAUUUAUAAAGAUUUUUUUUUUCAAAAGUAGCCUUAUUUUUAGCAAAUAGUUUCGAAAGUAUCUGUAAAAGCUUUAGAAAAUUUCUGCCAGUCAUGUCAUGUACUAGUUCAACGAACGUCUUCCUCGUGGUUUUGACUAUAUCUGAAGGAUGAUUUCUAAAACUCAUGAUCAUUGUUGGAGGGUUCUUCAAAUAGUUCUUGUAGACACCUAAUUUCGUCCCUCCCCGAUAUCGUUUUUACCCAUUUUUACUUUAUCCUACCGUGUACCCUCACCCAUCUAAUUAUUCCCCACAAAAAUACAAAAAUAACAAACUUCUAACAACUUUUGACACAUCACCUUGACACAUUACCACCCACCCCAUACCCUACCUACCUUACCCCACAUCACCUUUUAUUUUAUUUUUAAUCAACUCACAAAACAACAAAAAUAUAAAAGGGAUCACACUCACAUUUCAUGGGGACUACAUUAGAAAAGGGGGGUUCAUCUUCUCCACUAGAAUUCUCAUAACACACACAGAGGCAAUCCUCUCCCUUUACAGCUCACUCAAAAUUGAACACUAAUCGGCACAUACCAAAAAAGGGAAGCCGAUUGAGAGAGAGGGGGACGAAUAGAGAGAGAUAUAGUUAUUUUGAUUUCGGGUUACUGUUCCGACGACACAGUCGCCAUAUUUUGACAUUUUCUGUUAGCUUACUCCCUUCAUAGCUCACCGAAAAACAGAUACCAUUUUCUUCGUCUCUCUUAGAUACACAAUCAUCUUCUCAAUAACAAAUGGGACACAAUUCACACCUCACAGAGGAGGACCAUUCUUUUUUUCUUCUCUGCUCCACAGCCAACAUACAGAUCCCAUCGAAAAAGUGAAAUAGAGACUCCAUUUUUCCUUUUUCUUCAUCAUAAACACAUACGCACAGUGAGAGAGAGAGAGAUCGAGAGAGCUUCGAGAGAAGAGAGAAAAAUGAUGGGCUGACUGUUCCGGCGACUCUUUGCCGGAAAAACGCCGCCAUCAUCCCGUCGCGCCGUCUUUCUCUUGUUUGCAUCGUCAUCAGAUUGUCUGAGCUCACUGAAGCUCAAAAUUGUACUGGUUUUCAGUUUCUGUUGGAUUUUGGGAGUUUUGAUUUUAAUUUUUGUUUUUAUUUGUUCUUCGUGGAGCUUUGUUCGGAUUGGAUUUCAAGGGUUGGAGACCGAUUAUUUGAGGUCGAGUUGCUGAGGCUGAUUCGGGGUUCCUCGGAAUGCAGAAUCGUAUUUUUGAUCGACUGAUAUUUGGAAUAAAAUCAUCACUGAGGUCCAUUUCUACUCUUUUCCUCUUCUCUUUCAUUGUUGAUGGAAUAUGAUGCAUUGAAUGGAAUCUCGCAUGUUGCUUGAUCUUGAUUAGUGAUAAAUUGUUACUUUGAUAAUGACUUGUUGCUUAAUUUCAUUGAAAAAUGAUUGUGGGUUGUUGAAGAUGGCGAUUUGUGAAUUGUGGGAAAUUUGGUGUUAAAGGAGAAUUUGGGGAGGGAAUUAAAAAUUGGUUAAAAGUGAAUAUUGAUUUAUGUUGGUUUAGCAAAGAUUGCUUGUCUCGGAAUAAACAUCGACUUUGUUAAGAUUGAUAGUAUCAUGUUUUAGGCCGUAGUUCGUUAGGCGAGAAAUAGAGGUAGGCAAAUUUAAGAAUGUUGGAUUGGUGAAUGCUUGAAAUGUGUGUUGAAUGGUUUUGUUUUAUCACUUUAGGUCUUAUGUACUUAUUCACCGGGGAGUGCUCCGAAGUAUCUGUAUAUAUUUACUCACCGGGGAAUGCCCCGAAGAAUUUUGUACUCGAAGAAUGUUCGUGAUCAAGGCCCGAGGUAUCGGGUAAAGCAUAGUUUAGGACUAGUGUAGGUCAUUUCAAUAUUUUUAUUUCGGUUUGUAAUAAAUUGGACUGGACGCUAAAUUUUGGAUUGUUUUAUUUUGUUUACUUGCUUGAUUGUUUUGCAUGUUUUAUGUGAUUUAUACAUUCGCAGUGUCAAAUUAGCCGAUGUGCUCCACCGAGCGACCGUGGUCAAACCACAGGAUCGAGGGGUGCCUAACACCUUCCCCUCGGUCAACAAAAGUCCUUAGCCAGAAUCUCUGUUCGCAAACCAGUUUUAAGAGUCAAAAUAUUUUGAAAAGGGAUUUUCAAAGGUAACUUGGCACACCCAAUCUAUGCCAAGUGGCGACUCUGAGUUUAAAUGUAAAUAAUUCUUUUUUGAAAUAAAUUUUUAAUCUUUUGUCACUUUAAUAAUAAAACCCUUUCGAACCAUGAAAUUAUUCUUUGGAUGUUUAAAAAAGGGGUGUGACAGCUCUGGCGACUCUGCUGGGGAUCUUUUCAGAAUUCGAGCUUAUUUUGGAGUCGUAUCGGCUUUGUUUGGCAUUACGAGUGUAUAAGCAUUAUUUGUGAUUUUUGUUUGUGUUAUUGUUAUCACUUUUGUGCAUUUUCAUGCUCUUUAUGUACAGUAUUUAUCCUAUCUGUUACGGCUUUUAUAUUUGACAUCAUGUGUCUACCCCCGGGCCUUCUUUCUGCAACAAGUCCGUAGUACACGUGUUGUACACGACAUCUAGUUGAGUCACCCUUAUUUUAUGGGGGGAGUCGUCGGUGUUAUGGAGUAGGUGGAAAGCAAAGCAGCUACUAUCGACCAUACGCUCCCCCGAACAGCCUUGUUAGUGAACCACAACAUAGGUCAGCAUUUAGGUCAUGCUUAUGUGCAUCAUAUUGCGACCUAGUGGGACCCACUUGGUCCUUUGUAGGAGACUCACCUCUAAAGCAUCCGUACGUGCUAAAUGUUGCAUCUUUGAGGAUAACGUGGUCAUUUGAUGGACUGAUUUGGGAAAAACAUGUGUUAGAAGUAAAGUGUGUGGGUAAAAAAAAACAAGCAAAAAAAAAAAGAGUUUCGUAGUUUUUAGAGUUUUUUAUGGCUUUUAUUGUUCAAAAUUCCAAAAUUCAAAAGGGCUUUUUUACCUCCCGCACUCAUUUUCUCAAAAACAUCAAAAAGAUUUUCCUUUGUCUCGUUUAGCAUGCAUUCACAAUUCGGAAACUUCAAAAAGAUUUUUUUCAUUCAUAGGAUGUGUUUAUAAAAGAAAAAUGCAAAAAAAAAAAGAUGUUAGAAAUUUUUUACAUUUCGUAUAACGAAAAUACCAAAAAGAUUUUUCUUUNNNNNNNNNNNNNNNNNNNNNNNNNNNNNNNNNNNNNNNNNNNNNNNNNNNNNNNNNNNNNNNNNNNNNNNNNNNNNNNNNNNNNNNNNNNNNNNNNNNNNNNNNNNNNNNNNNNNNNNNNNNNNNNNNNNNNNNNNNNNNNNNNNNNNNNNNNNNNNNNNNNNNNNNNNNNNNNNNNNNNNNNNNNNNNNNNNNNNNNNNNNNNNNNNNNNNNNNNNNNNNNNNNNNNNNNNNNNNNNNNNNNNNNNNNNNNNNNNNNNNNNNNNNNNNNNNNNNNNNNNNNNNNNNNNNNNNNNNNNNNNNNNNNNNNNNNNNNNNNNNNNNNNNNNNNNNNNNNNNNNNNNNNNNNNNNNNNNNNNNNNNNNNNNNNNNNNNNNNNNNNNNNNNUAGAGUAGGUAUUUCAUAUACAUCUUUAAAAGAAAACUACAAAAAGAUUUUUCUUUAAUAGGUUCAAGUUUCAUUUUCAUAUGAAAUUCAAAAUUGAAAAUCCACAAAGAUUUUUUCUUUGAUAAUCAUAGGUUUCAUUUUGUAUAGGAAUUUUAAACGGGAAAAUGCAAAAAAGAGUCUAUUCUUUUGACAAUUUGUUAUUUUCUUCUCUUUUUAAAGUUUCAAGAAAAGAAAAAAGAAAGGAAAAAGCUUAUUUGGGCAUUUUGGCAAAACUUCACGAACUACGCACACCUGAUUCUCCCCUUUUGGGGGUGAGAUACGUAGGCGCCCUUCUUGGGUUCGGUAAUCUUUUCAAGAAAAGAAUAAGAGGUUUUGAAAAACUAUUGAACUCUAACCAUUCGCUAUCUCUUGUCCAGUUAGUUUAAGGUGGUUGGUUUAUGGCAUUUUGGCUAGUCCUCCAUAUUGCUCCAAGUCACAGAGGAAGUUAUGACCAACAAGGAUAUCGAGUUAGUUGUCACUAAUCAGAUAGGGAGUUCGGGGAAUGAGAAUAUAGGAGAUAAUGAAGAGAUUCGGAAAUUAGGGCGGCAAAUAACAGAAAUGCAUCGAGCUUGGGCUAAUGGGUCGGCGCCUCCUCCAGUUCCCACUGAUAAUCUGGAAUAUCUUUCUAGCUUGCCUCCCGUGUCACAUGCAUAAUUUACCAUUUUUGUUGAUAUGCCACAACAUGCAUCAGGAUCGACUCCGGGGCAAUAAUAUCCAACCACUUCUAAUGUUCAUUUCCUCACUCCCCAAUCCAAGACUACCACAUACUCGGCUCCAGCUGUUGUUCAUGCUUUUGUGGCGCCACCCCGACCUCCUACAUUUGAUGUUCAUCCACAAGUUGUGCCUCCCUACUCUACAAGAGAGCCUGUACUGAAUAUUUUUAGUGAUCAUUAUUAUGCUCUCGAGCCUACAUUUAAGUCGACUGGUCCUUACGAUUGCCCUCAACCGCCUGAAUUUCCUCCUAAUACUGAGAAGUCUGUUAUGACAGAAGAACAAGAGGAAAUAGCCAGAAAAUUGAGAAGUUUGGAACUGACUAUGAAAAACUUGGAAGGGCUUGGGGGGUAUAAAAGUGUCUCAUAUAAAGAUUUGUGCAUGUUUCCUGGUGUAUAUUUUUCUCUUGGUUUUAAAAUGCCGAAUUUUGAGAAGUAUGAUGGACAUGGCGAUCCUGUAGCACAUUUAAGACGCUAUUACAACCGGCUAAGGGGUGUUGGAGGGAAAGAAGAAUUACUCAUGGCAUAUUUUGGUGAGAGUCUUUCAGGUCUAGCUUCAGAAUGAUUUGUUGACCAAGAUAUUGACAAGUGGAUUAGUUGGGAUGAUCUAGCUAACGAAUUUGUGCAACAAUUUCAAUACAAUGUGGAGUUGAUCCCUGACGAAAAAUCCCUAACUAGUAUAACAAAAAAGAAUACUGAGAGUUUCAGGGAGUAUGCAUGGUGCGAACAAGCUGCGAGGGUAAAACCGCCAAUGAAAGAAAGCAAAAUAGUGGAGGUGUUUAUUCAAGCGCAAGACGAAACAUAUUAUCAACAAUUGUUACCUGCAUUAGGCAAGCCAUUCAUUGAGGUCCUUAAAAUGGGGGAGAUGAUAGAAGAGGGAAUUGAGACUGGUCGCAUUGUGAAUUUUGCAACAUUUAAAACGACUACUCAAGUAAUUCAAAAGGGUUCAGGAAGUGUUGGGGAGAAAAAGAAUGAGGAAGAUGCAUCUGCAAUUAUAGUUGGACAACAAGAAAGGUCAAGAAGACCACGUCGUCGUCGAUCUCAGGCUCAAGCUCAAGUUUAUGCGCAAGCUCCACAUAAUCACUCCCAAAAUCCAUUAUGCUCUUUUCCUCCACAUCCAUAUUCAGUGUAUAAUGCACAACCACAUGUUCAACCCUCAUCUUACCCACAAUGGCAUACCCCGACGCCCCAGAGUCAUCCUCUAACUCCACAAACAUACCAAAACCCUUCUAAGCAGAUUUUCUAUCCAAGCCAAACAAUGAAAUGAGGCAGAAGUCGAUAGAUAGCUUCACACCAAUUGAAGAGUCAUAUGCCAGUUUAUUUCAGAGAUUGGUACAAGAAGAAAUGAUCACUCCUCUCCUUGGGCACACCCUUAAUCAACGUUCAAGAAAUUUUGAUCCUAACACACGAUGUGCGUAUCAUUCUGAGUCUCAGGGUCAUAGUAUUGAAGAUUGUAGAGAUUUGAAAAGAGAAAUUGAAAAGAUGAUUCAUGAUGGAUCAAUCAUGGUGCAGAACAUUGAUAGUGAGGGAANNNNNNNNNNNNNNNNNNNNNNNNNNNNNNNNNNNNNNNNNNNNNNNNNNNNNNNNNNNNNNNNNNNNNNNNNNNNNNNNNNNNNNNNNNNNNNNNNNNNNNNNNNNNNNNNNNNNNNNNNNNNNNNNNNNNNNNNNNNNNNNNNNNNNNNNNNNNNNNNNNNNNNNNNNNNNNNNNNNNNNNNNNNNNNNNNNNNNNNNNNNNNNNNNNNNNNNNNNNNNNNNNNNNNNNNNNNNNNNNNNNNNNNNNNNNNNNNNNNNNNNNNNNNNNNNNNNNNNNNNNNNNNNNNNNNNNNNNNNNNNNNNNNNNNNNNNNNNNNNNNNNNNNNNNNNNNNNNNNNNNNNNNNNNNNNNNNNNNNNNNNNNNNNNNNNNNNNNNNNNNNNNNNNNNNNNNNNNNNCUUUGUCGUUUAUGUUCAAACCCUUUUAUCUUUUAUUUCAACUAAAUGAAGUGUCCUUUUCAGUUUGUGUUUCAAAUAUGUGUUGUUUGUUUUCUUUAUACAGUCACUUUAUGUUGAUUCUAGAGAUAUGAUAUGCCUGCGGAAUUUUCAGUCAGAUCUUAAAAUUCAGCUUAAUCAUGAAGCAUUGAAUCAAAGAGUUAAAGUUAGAAAAAGAAAGCAUAUGAGAAAAUAGAUAGAGUGCUGAGACAUUUGGUGACAAGUUAAGGCAAUUAUUUUGAGACUCACAAGAACAACUUAGUCAUCGAUAGAAAGGCAAGUCCCAAUUAGGUCAAAUAGUGGAUGUGUGAUCGCUAUAUCAAGAGAAACAAGAAGAUAAGCAGCUCCACGAAAGCAUGAGUCAUUUGAUGUGAGGAAUGUACAACAAAGGUGGAGUUUACAGAAGAAGUUGUGACGCACAGACUCAAUCUGCUUAAAAAGAUGUCGCAAAUGAACUUCAUUUCUCACUUCCAAUUGCAUGUUAUGUACUUGCAUUCUCAAGGAUUGAUAUGAUGAAGGCAUUUCAUUCUGCUAUCCAAACAUUGUGUCAUCCUUUGUUUACCAUUUGAACCUUAGUGUUAUUUUCUUUCAUACCCCUCAUUUGGAAUCAAGAUAGAGUAAGCAAAGUUCAAAGAAUAGUGUCGAGCAAAAAGAUAAAGUCAAGAGUUACAAAAAAGAGCCAAAAAUAUUUCCAAAAAAAGAGUGUCAAGAAAAAUAGAGUUAGAAAAAAAGAAUCACAAAGUGAAAAGAGCGAAUAAAAAAAACUAAAGAAAAAAAUAGAAUCAAGUGAAAGAACAAGCUGCCAGAACUACGCAUGACCUGAUUCUCCUCUCUCGGGGGUGAGAUACGUAGGCUGCCCUACUCAGGGCUCGAUCCAACCAAAUAAAUAAUUUAGAGUCACCUAGUCAGGGCUCGGUCCAACCAAAUAAAUAAUCCUCAUUGUUUGAGUCAAUUCCAAAAGUUGUAAGUCCUACCCCACUUCAAGUGUCGUUUGGGCCCCAUGUCAUCCUUUCUUUCUAACCUUAUCCAAAAACCAAGUUACAACCAAAGAAAGACCUUCAGAUCAAUCUUUGAGGAUGUUAAGGUGGAUCAUGCAAGGGAUAUGAUGAUGCAUUUGGGAACUAUUUGUCUUCCUCAGCAUAGGGAAUCAAGAGAGAAAUAAAAAUGAGAGAGUCUUAUUGGUGAAAACCCUCACGGGCACCAUAAGGCGAUAGUGAACCGAGAGAAAAUGAAAGAAGCUUAUUGGCAAAAACCCUUCAAGGCUCCACUAGCCGAAUGGGGUCUUAAAUGCAAGUGACCUAAGAAAGCAACUCAGUUUCAAGGACAUUAACUCAACAACAAUGGGUAGAAAGUUUGGAUGAAAAGAUCAAGCUGCUUAAUCCAAAAUGCAUGGCAUAAUCAUUAGUGUUGACUGUCAUUUUUAGAUGAAUUUUUUGUUUCUUUGUUUUAAAAGGGGACAUUCAUUGUCUUUUAUUUCUUCUCUUUAUUUUAAUUUUAUCUUUCUUGAGUCAGUUUUUAAAACAAAAAUUGUCAUUCAUUUUUUUUUUGGUUGUCUUUAAGUCAAGUCCGUGUCAAAACAAGUGAGAAAAGAUUUCAAAACUGGCUACCAGCUUCUUUAAUUGCACAAAGCAAGACAAAAGCUAGCACAUGAAAGAGACAUGAUUGUGAGCCCAAAAAGGGCAUGCAGAAAGUUUUGUCAACAUAAAAGUCAGGGAACUCAUGGAAAUACCAAGGUUCAAAGGGUUUAUUUGAGAAACACGACAAAGCAGAAAUACUAUGUUUGUUUCAGAACCACUCUUAAUAAGCUGAGUUUGAGUCAAUGAUACAGCAAGUCAAUGACAUAUGCUAAUGGUUGGAAGCAAAGUUAAACGUGACGGGGGCAGGAGUAAUUGCCUCAAAAGCCAAAGCCACAAACUAGCCACCAUGUUUUUAAACUCACAAGUUUUCUUUGUAUGUAAUAGNNNNNNNNNNNNNNNNNNNNNNNNNNNNNNNNNNNNNNNNNNNNNNNNNNNNNNNNNNNNNNNNNNNNNNNNNNNNNNNNNNNNNNNNUGCUGCAUAGGUUUGGUAAUCAAAACCAUGGUAAAACUCAUAAUUCAAGAUCUCUAGGAGACGCACUUCCUUGUUUUGGUAAUUCAAGCAGCUUUGGUAAGGAGACGCACUUCAUUGUUUUGAUAAUUCAAACAACAUUGAUAGGGAAACAUACUUCCUUGAUUGGGUAAUUCGAAUUUUGCUUUUUAGGUAAUGCACUUCCUAACUUAAGUCUUGAUUCCUAGAAGACGUACCUUUUAGUCGAGUCAUCCCCUUUGAUUCCUAUAAGACGUACCUUUUAGUUGAGUCAUCCCCUUUGAUUCCUAUAGAACGUACCUUUUAGUCGAGUCAUACCCUUUGAUUCCUAUAAUACUUACCUUUUAGUCGAGUCAUCCCCUUUGAUUCCUAUAAGAUGUACCUUUUAGUUAAGUCAUCCCCUUUGAUUCUUAUAAGACGUACCUUUUAGUAGAGUCAUUCCUAUUGAUUCCUAUAAGACGUACCUUUUAGUCGAGUCAUCCCCUUUGAUUCCUAUAAGACGUACCUUUUAGUCGAGUCAUCCCCUUUGAUUCCUAUAAGAUGUACCUUUUAGUUGAGUCAUUCCCNNNNNNNNNNNNNNNNNNNNNNNNNNNNNNNNNNNNNNNNNNNNNNNNNNNNNNNNNNNNNNNNNNNNNNNNNNNNNNNNNNNNNNNNNNNNNNNNNNNNNNNNNNNNNNNNNNNNNNNNNNNNNNNNNNNNNNNNNNNNNNNNNNNNNNNNNNNNNNNNNNNNNNNNNNNNNNNNNNNNNNNNNNNNNNNNNNNNNNNNNNNNNNNNNNNNNNNNNNNNNNNNNNNNNNNNNNNNNNNNNNNNNNNNNNNNNNNNNNNNNNNNNNNNNNNNNNNNNNNNNNNNNNNNNNNNNNNNNNNNNNNNNNNNNNNNNNNNNNNNNNNNNNNNNNNNNNNNNNNNNNNNNNNNNNNNNNNNNNNNNNNNNNNNNNNNNNNNNNNNNNNNNNNNNNNNNNNNNNNNNNNNNNNNNNNNNNNNNNNNNNNNNNNNNNNNNNNNNNNNNNNNNNNNNNNNNNNNNNNNNNNNNNNNNNNNNNNNNNNNNNNNNNNNNNNNNNNNNNNNNNNNNNNNNNNNNNNNNNNNNNNNNNNNNNNNNNNNNNNNNNNNNNNNNNNNNNNNNNNNNNNNNNNNNNNNNNNNNNNNNNNNNNNNNNNNNAGCUGUAUAGAUAGGAUUUUUGUAAUUUUAAUUAUGUUUUAACUUGUAAUUUUCAUUUUAAUGUAAUGACAGAGUCGUGGACUGAAACCUCAAUGGAACCUCACUCGACUCUCCAACCUGGUAUAGUCCUCUUUCCAAUCCUUUGAAAUACCCGUGACUUGAUUCUCUCAUAACUAUGGUAGGUAGGAUGUUUUAAGUCAAAACCCAGUUGUCCUUCUUCUUUCUGUUUCUUUCUUUGAAUAAUGGUCGGGUCAAAAUUUGGUCUUGUGGUCUACUUCUUUGUCUGAAAACACUUCAUGUUUACAUUCAAAGGGGGCAUGAUGUAGACACCUAAUUUUGUCCCUCCCCGAUAUCGUUUUUACCCAUUUUUACUUUAUCCUACCAUGUACCCUCACCCAUCUAAUUAUUCCCCACAAAAAUACAAAAAUAACAAACUUCUAACAACUUUUGACACAUCACCUUGACACAUCACCACCCCACCCCAUACCCUACCUACCUUACCCCACAUCACCUUUUAUUUUAUUUUUAACCAACUCACAAAACAACAAAAAUAUAAAAGGGAUCACACUCACAUUUCACGGGGACUAUAUCAGAAAAGGGGGGUUCAUCUUCUCCACUAGAAUAAUCUUAACACACACACAGGCAAUCAUCUCCCUUUACAGCUCACUCAAAAUCGCACACUAAUCGGCACAUACCAAAAAAGGGAAGCCGAUUGAGAGAGAGGGGGACGAAUAGAGAGAGAUAUAGUUAUUUUGAUUUCGGGUUACUAUUCCGGCAAUACAGUCGCUGGAUUUUAACAUUUUCUGUUAGCUUACUCCCUUCACAACUCACCGGAAAACAGAUACCAUUUUUUUCGUCUCUCUUAGAUACACAAUCAUAUUCUCAAUAACAAAGGGGACACAAUUCACACCUCACGGAGGAGGACCAUUCUUUUUUUCUUCUCUACUCCACAGCCAACAUACAGAUCCAAUCGAAAAAGGGAAACAGAGACUCCAUUUUUCCUCUUUCUUCAUCAUAAACAUAUAUGCACAGUGAGAGGGAGAGAUCGAGAGAACUUCGAGAGAAGAGAGGAGAGCGAGAGAAGAGAGAAAAAUGAUGGGCUGACUGUUCCGGUGAGUCUUUGCCAGAAAAGCGUCGCCAUCAUCCCGUCGCGUCGUCUUUCUCUGGUUUGCAUCGUCAUCAAAUUGUCUGAGCUCACUGAAGCUCAAAAUUGUACUGGUUUUCAGUUUUUGUUGGAUUUUGGGAGCUUUGAUUUCAAUUUUUGUUUUCAUUUGUUCUUCGUAGAGCUUUGUUCGGAUUGGAUUUCAAGGGUUGGAGACCGAUUAUUUGAGGUCGAGUUGCUAAGGCUGAUUCGGGGUUCCUCGGCAUGCGGAAUCGUAUUUUUGAUUGACUGAUAUUUGGAAUAAAAUCAUCACUGAGGUCCAUUUCUACUCUUUUCCUCUUCUCUUUCAUUGUUGAUGGAAUAUGAUACAUUGAAUGGAAUCUCGUAUGUUGCUUGAUCUUGAUUAGCGAUAAAUUGUUACUUUGGUAAUGACUUGUUGCUUAAUUUCAUUGAAAAAUGAUUGUGGGUUGUUGAAGAUGACGAUUUGUGAAUUAUGGGAAAUUUGGUGUUAAAGGGGAAUUUGGGGAGGGAAUUAAAAAUCGGUUAAAAGUGAAUAUUGAUUUAUGUUGGUUUAGCAAAGAUUGCUUGUCUCCGAAUAAAUAUCGACUUUGUUAAGAUCGAUAGUAUCAUGUUUUAGGCCGUGGUUCGUUAGGCAAGAAAUAAAGGUAGGCAAAUUUAAGAAUGUUGGAUUGGUGAAUGCUUGAAAUGUGUGUUGAAUGUUUUUGUUUUAUCACUUUAGGUCUUAUGUACUUAUUCACCGGGGAAUGCCCCGAAGUAUCUGUAUAUAUUUACUCACCGGGGAAUGCCCCAAAGAAUUUUGUACGCAAAGGAUGUUCGUGAUCAAGGCCCGAGGUAUCGGGUAAAGCAUAGUUUAGGACUACUGUAGGUUAUUUCAGUAUUUUUUUCGGUUUGUAAUAAAUUGGACUGGACGCUAAAUUUUGGAUUGUUUUAUUUUGUUUGCUUGCUUGAUUGUUUUGUGUGUUUUAUGUGAUCUAUACAUUCGCUGUGUCAAAUUAGCCGAUGUGCUCCACAGAGCGACCGUGGUCAAACCACGGGAUCGAGGGGUGCCUAACACCUUCCCCUCGGUCAACAGAAUUCCUUAGCCGGAAUCUCUGUUCGCAAACCAGUUUUAAGAGUCAAAAUAUUUUGAAAAAGGAUUUCCAAAGGGGACUUGGCACACCCGAUCUAUGCCAAGUGGCGACUCUGAGUUUAAAUGUAAAUAAUUCUUUUUCGAAAUAAAUUUUCAAUCUUUUGUCACUUUAAUAAUAAAACCCUUUCGAACCAUGAAAUUAAUCUUUGGAUGUUUAAAAAAGGGGUGUGACAGUUCUGUCAUAACCAGAAAUUGAGUUCACCUAGACUUUGUCGCAGUUGCUGACUUUAAGAGUUUGUCUUUAACCUUUGGUGCUGGAGAAUUUGAAAUAUAUCCCAGUACUUGGUGGAAAUUUUGAGGCCUUCCUCAAAAUUUCUGCCUCAGUUUAAAGUAGUUUGAGAUGAUAUCAACUCAAGUGGAUCUGAAGUCUUUGCUGAUCUUCAUUCUCUUUGUUGGAUGUUGAUCUUCUCUUGUGAAUUUUUGAGAUUAAAAUUUUGCCCCAGUUUCCAUUUUCUAGGGUUAUAAGACCGAGUUGUUGGGGCGCCUACGUAUCCCAUUGAAGCAGGAAUCAGGUCAAACAUAGUUCAGGACUACGCUAAGGAUAUAUAGAAAAAUCUAAUGGGUUGACCGAAGCCGACAUCGGCCGCCUACGUAUCCCUUUUAUUGGGAAUUCAGGUCAUCAUCAUACAUAAAGAGAAAGGAUAAAAUUUCCUUAGGGGUUGACCGAAGCCGACAUAGGCCGCCUACGUAUUCCUUUCUUGGGAAUUCAGGUCAAACGUAGUUCGUACAUAAACUCAUAAUGGCUCUAAAAAUACUCUUAUCCAUCUUACUAGGAUAUAAAUAAGUAUUUCUAUGGAUGACAUGACAUUUGCAUUGCGUUUGUCUUGAUAGAAUAAAGGAUCAAAUAUCCAAUGGAGUUAUCGCCUUCCUAGUUAACCACCUCGGUUUCCUCUAGAUUAGGCUUGUUUGAUUCUCAAACUUGUUGACUCUUCUGUUGACUAUUCUAGGGCUACCAUUAUUUUGCUUCUUGACAUGACAUGACAAUGGCAGGUUUUAAGUUACUGUUAUACGACGGGCGAUGAGUCAUGAGUGGAGUGGAGGUCCAAUUCAACAAUGUUUCCUCCAAUUAAUUUUCCAUGAUCCCGAUUGUCUUGGAAAAUUCUUCCCUUACAUUUUCCUUAUUCCAUCCUCGAUACCAUUGCUUACAGGUUUGAAAAAUGAUUGGUAGAGUCCAAUUUUACUACUAGUCAUUUUUCUUUUCCUGUAACAAAGCUAUAGUAAAGAAGGAGAUCUCUUAUUCAUUUUGAUCUGGUGAAGUAGGGUCAUUUUGUGACAACACAGAGUAGUUUCUAUUACCUGCAAAGUAAAAACAACUCAAAGGCUGACGUGUUAGAUUCCGUUAUAAUAAGCAAAGUAAGAUGAUAAGGUAGGAAGUAAACACAUAGAGUUGUUUCUCAUCUCAUGCGAAUAGAUCCAUGAAGUAAUGAUGACUCAAGAAUUUCAAUGAACAAGAUUUUGCUCAUUGAUAUGGAUAGGUGGAAUUUGUUAGGAAGGUUCAACUCUUCUUCUUCCUUCAAAAAAGUGGAGGACAACAGAGUUUUUGGAGAUAGGGGCAGGGCCAAAAGGCUGCCUAUGUAUCUCACGGGGAGAAAUCAGGCCCUACGUAAUUCAAAACUAUAAAGACAUUUUCUAAUUCUAAUGUCAACUUUCCUAAAAUAGUAGUGAUCAUUUUGGAAGUUUUAAGAAUGACUACGGACUUUUCUGAGAAACUUGGGAGACUUGGAGUACUUUUGGUCGGAUUUUUGUAUAGUGGGGUAUAUUUCUGCCUAGAGAUGUUCUAUGGUAAAUAGGAUUGGAUCAGUUCACCUUUGUUUCGAAUCAUCAUAACACGUAUAAGCACAUAAACAGUUAUAUUAUACAAGCAUAUUGUAAUAAAUGUCCAUCCUAAUUAGGUGACCCGUUUGAGGCAAGGGUUUAGGCCUAACGAGUUUUGAAGAAAAUAUACGCCUUUUUAAAGCCAAUCCAUUAUCCCCAAAAACCUUCAUAGGUAUCCAUAAAUGACAUAAAUGUCUACAAAAGUUGCACAAAAGGGAUACAAUCUUUAGGGAAAGGGAAUAAUGUCCCACGCAGGGGAUACUAAUUACUAAAUGCUUCUUCUAUCGGCCUUCGCACUCUUAGCUUCGUCCAUUUCCUAUAUUGGUGACAUCUAUUGACGUUCAAACUAUGCCUUAGAUGCAACCUCCCAAAUCGAUCAAUUUCUUGCUUAACUUGCUUUAGUUCUUCUUACGAAAGUAAGCAAAUCAAUCUUUUUCCCGACCCCCAAUGGAUAAUGGAUUGAAUUAGACAGGCAAACAUUUUCUUCAACACAUAAAUAUGGUUCGUUUAUAAUUGACUUAGGGUCAAUAGACGUAGGGAAGGUUUUCUAAUGGGCCUAAUACCCCGCUCGAGUAUUGGGUCGUCCUAGGCUCAUGUCUAAAAUAGGGUUUUGGUUUUGUUCUAUCCUAGGUGUCUAGAGUGGGUUUGAACACAAGUUCUCAAGCGGACAACUUGAGUUUGAAAAUACGAAUAGCCAUUAGGCGACUCACGUGCUAAUAAGCCAUUCGUAUUUUCAACACAUUAUUGAAAUUGAACAAUAGGGGCCGGGACAUCCAUGAAACCACAAAAUAAUUUAAAUAAUGCAGGAAUAUGCCAUGAUAUGCGAUAGUUAAACUUUACAGAAUCAAAACAUAAAAACACAUAAACAGUUAAUCAAAAGACAAAAUCAAAGAAUUGGUUGGAACCUAGUUCAAAAUCCCCAGCAGAGUCGUCAUUUCUGUUUUGUGGAGAAAUUUUGAAUUUUUGAGAGUCGCCGCUUAAUUUCUAAAAAGGAAUUAAGAAACCUUUAGAGAGUUACUUCAAACAAUUCAAAAUAGGAAAAUCGUUUAAGUUUUGAAGAUUUUGAGUAAGCGAUUCCUAUUAACGUUUUAGGAAGGUGUUAGGCACCUAAAACGUCCGCUAACUUGCGGUUUUCCGAUCUGUUUGAAAAUCAUCUCUUUUAACUAACUUGGAAAAUCGACUUGUGGGAAAAGUAAUUGAUUAAGGAAAAGUUUUUUGCAAAAUCAGUUUUUUAGCGACUUAGUUAGGGAGUUAACUAGAUUCGAACACUAAGCAAAUAAAAUAAUGAAAGGGAAAUAGAGGAAGAAAUAAAUGAUUUGGGCCUUCAUGACCAAAUUCGUCUCCCUGUCUUAGUCUAGAUAUUGGGCUUUUGGCCCGUCUUCCACCUGUCCUAGUCUGUAUUUUGAGCCUUUGGCUCGAGUAUCGCUCCACCUAUAUUAAAUUUACAACUUUGGCUUCGAUGCCCAAAUGAAUGAAUAAAUAAAAGACGAUAAUAAAUAUAUAAAAUGAAAUAAUAAAUGAGACUUUUGACUCUUAACCGCUUCAAAGAUGGAACUUUAACCCAUUCUUCUUCUUUGACUCUUUACACCCAUAUGCCGUGAAAAAGGCUUUAGACUUCUUUUGGGCUUCGACUCGAAAGCUAGGCCCCAUUGGAAGGCAAAGUAGUCCGGGUAGGACUCGAAUGGUUUCCAUGCAAAAAUAAAAGUAAGACACAUUAACACAUAUAAAAGAAAAAAGAGGAAAAAUGAAGGAAGUCGGCAUAUGAUAAAUCAAAACAAAACAGAAAAUAUAAAUAAAAUAAGUAAGAGAUGGUCAUUACAAUGUCAACCAAAGAAUAUGAAGAAAGUUAAUCCAUAGUUAACUGUAGACAACGGUAUAACAUAGUUCUUAAUUGUUCAAAAGCCGAUCACAAAAAACAAUAGAACAUGUUCAUAUCAAUUUAACAGUGAAAGGUGAAAUUAAAACAAUGGACUUUAUAUUUGACAUAAUCCAACGCUCCUAAAAAAUGGCAAGAAGAUUUAAAAGCACAUAGGCCGAGCAUGUUACACUUUGGAAUAGUCAUUUUAAUCAAGUAGACAUAAGACGAAACCGACUUCGAGAAUUCCUAUCGAAGGAAAAAGACCAAAGUAUCUAGGCGAAAGUUAAUUGAUUCAACCAAAGAUUCAUUCUUGGAAGCAAAGCUAUACGUUGGGCAAGUCAAUUUCAAUAUUUCAGAUAGAAACAAAUAAGUUUUAUCCUUAUACAUAUUCAAACAUCAAACGAGAAUCUUUGAGAAAUAGAAAAAGGAAGAAUUGAUGGCGAACGUCUUAACCAAAGAAAUGACCGAUCAUGCACUUAUGAGAAUGAUUUACAAAUAAGACUUUUACUGAUCCAAACCUAAAAUACACAUGGCUACCUCCAAACGUUAUUGCUCAACUAACAAUUUCCCAGGAAGGUUAGCAGAAAAACAAGUUUAAAGAAUUUAUGACACCACUUCAAAGAAUCAUAAGAAUCAAAGAAAACUUUGCUUUAUAAGCAACAAAUAUUCUAGAAAACCUUGCUUAAAAGAGGUGAGAUCCAACAGUUGUUCGUGAAACUUGUGCAGAAAAACUAGCGACAAUUAGAACCAAAUAAACAUGGACAUUAAACGAUCCGACUAAACAAGGAAGGAAUAUAGUCUAAAACAAAACAGAACCUAUUUAGCCAGACUGCCGAGGAGACAAUGGAUCAUUAUACGGAAUGCUCCAAUAAAUGAAUUUGAUGAAGUAAUUUCCACAAUUCAACUUUAAUCGCGCAAAUACUACUAUCUUUAGGCUACAGUUAGGCUCAAUACGAGAGACUAUGCUAGGUCAGGAAGUCUGUUUUAAUAUUAAAGUACAACGGGCAUACAGACACACCAGAAAGGACAUUGGCACUGAAUAGGGGCAUCAAAAGCCUUCAAAGCUCUAUCUUACAUAUAAACAAGUCCUUUAUCUCAGAAUAUAUUCACUAUAAUAAUGAAAAUAGAUAAAAGUCUUCAGUAACAACACGCACGACAGAUUCAAGCACAAAGAGCUACUAGAACGAAAUCACUACAGCAAAAGGGGAACAUUGAUGCAAACAAGCAGCAUAACAAUUCGUAUUACAUACAAAUCCUAUGGCUUUCAAAGCCUCUACAGCACACAAUCCCAGCCUCAUUCACGCUUACGACUAAACCACUAUCGCUAUGAACAAAAGAGAUGAAGAAGAAAAUGAUAAAUUAAAAAGUGAAAGAUUAGAUUUACCUCUUUAAGGGCAGCAAAAUGAGACUUGAGCUUCGUUCAGAAUCACAACCACAAGAAAAAUGCUGUGAUCGUCACCUCGAGACUCCAAUUAGUUGACGAAUCCACGAGUGGAAUUUACUAAAGGGAACCGACUUGUGCUCCCUGAGUUUUCUUUUAUCCCAUUUCUUUUGCUUUCAAAGAGAAGAGCAUCUCCCUCGACCCUUUUCUCGACCCAAAGAAAAAAAUCCUCAGCCAAGCUUUCUCAACCAAUCUCCCAGCACCCAGAAUUUCCAAAAAAAAAUUCCUUUUUCUUUCUCCUAAAACUUCGAAUCCAAAAGAGAAAGACCAGAAAAAUCCCCUCCUCCAACAAUGACCCAAAUGGGUUCUUAUAUAGAAGACCGAAUUAGGGGUAUUUUGGGAAUUGAAAAAUAAAAUUUUUUUUUUUGAAUUUUUGGGUUCCGGAUAAGAUUUUCUGUUCAAGAGCGGUACUAAUUUAGAAUUUUUCACUAGAAAUUCAAAAUAAUUAGCCAAUAAGGAAUGAGGAAUCGAAAUUCCCUCAUGAACCAAUCAAAAAUCGCCAAAAAUGUACGAAUCUGUAUCGAUUAUUCUGAGAUUUGUGGAGUUGAUCCGUUGGGGGUGACACCUAGCUUGUUUCCAGAAGGUUCGAGACUGAUUUUGGACGAGGAAAGCGUUUGGACGAGAACCAGCUGGUUCGAGUUUUCUUGGUCGAUUUUGGAUGAAAUUGGGUCGGGUAAUGGUUGUUUGUGCAUAUGUUGCUGUUAUCGAUGGGUUAUAGUCGAGUCACAGUCAGGUCAGCGUUAGGAGGCUGGGUUCAUUGGAUUUUUGGUUGGGGGUUUAUCGAAUUCGGGUAGUUGACGGGUUGGAAUGUAUUGAGAUGGCUGGUGUUGUUUUGAGGAGGAAGAGAGAUUGAUGAAGUUAUUGGGCCGGGUAUUGAUUUGUUUUGGGCCUGGGGUAGCUGAGUUGUUUUGUUUGCUUAGGCUGGGGCUGUUUAAGUGUGUUUUGGGAAUUAAAAUUGGGAUAUUGAAUUACAACUUAGACCAUUUCAUUUAAAUUCUAGUCAAAUUAAAUGUCGAUUGGCUAAUUGUAUCACAAUUGGGGCCAAUUUGAUUUCAAUUGAAGUCAAAUUUAAUUAAUAGACCAAAUUGAAUCGCAAUCCGAUACGAAUAAAGUGACAAAUUAAUCCCGAGUUUCUCGAUUUGAUAAAAAUCAAACAAAUAUUCCUCCAAAUACAAUAAUUUGAGAACAAAUCACAUUUAAAAUCAAGACUUUAUUUGUUUGGAUUAAUUUUCAAGUUUAAUCAAUAAAGUCUAAUUUUGAUUAAAAAAAAUGUUCAUUUAAAUAACAAAAUUUAUACAAUCUCGUAUAUGUAAAUAUGAAAAUGUAUAAUCGUUAAUUAAAUGAUAAAAUUAACUCAAAUAAAUAUUUUAAAUUGCAUUUAUUUGAAUAAAAUAAUUGUUGUGAUUUUAUUUUAAAAUUGAAGAAACUCGAAAUUAAAUUUGGUUGUGGAGGCAAAAAUUAGGUGUCAACACACAACUUUUUUAAAAAAAAAAUAAAAAUUGAAGAGGAUGGCCAAUAAUAAGGAAAAAGACAAAUGAAUAAUAAUUCAUUCAAGAUCAUAUGAAGAAUUUAAAACAACACAAAUAAUGAAAUAAAUUAAGAAAAAAUUAUCACAUACUACCAAAUAAUAUGAAUAUAAUAUAACUUAAAGAACUUGAUGGAGCCUAAUCGAUAUUGUUUAUGGAGAAAAAAAAGUGAGAUAUUUAUAAAGUUUUUUAAAUCUUUUUUAGUAAAAAUACUAAAUACUAACAAAUUUACUACUUAUUCUAUUGUUAUUUUUUCCUUUUUAACCCUAUGUUAAUUGGACUUCUUCUUAUAGAAAUAUUAAAAUAGUAGCGUAAGUUUCCUAUUCCUAAAAACUUUUUUGGCACAUUGAUGUUUGCAAAGUUUCUUCGAUAUUUUUUAAAAACAUUGAAACGUACUCUAAUUAUGGUAUACAAUGUAAAUAAGAAAAAUAUUUAUAUAAAAAAUAUAAUCAACAACAACAAGAACAAGUCCAGUGCAUUCCCACACAGUGGGCCAGUCUGGGGAAGGUAAAAUAUACGCAGUCCAUACCGCUACCUUCGAAGAAGUAGAGAGGCAGUUUUCGAUAGACCCUCGGCUCAAGAUAAAGAAUAGUAAAUAAAGUCGUGAUAAAACGUGAAGCAGGAUGGGUGGCUUAACAGGAGUAAAGAAUCAGAAAUGGUAAAAUAGAACUUAGAGCAAUACGGAAUAGGGGGACUAAGAGCCAUAAGGAAUAAGAAAUAAGACAUAUGAAAUCUGAAAUAGGGCACCCGCCUAGUAGUAACCUACACUCACAGACCAAAGCCAACCACCACACCCAAACUCUCCUGACUAGCGGCUCCUACCUAUUGAUACAGUCCUACGAUUACUACCCCGGCUAAACAGGGACUCUCCUAACUACUUGCUACAACCCAUGUACUCACCUUAGCCUUGUACCCUUAUCCGCGACAUCCACACCUUCCUAUCUAGGGUUAUGUCCUCAGUAAGCUGAAGUUGCUCCAUGUCAUGUCUAAUCACUUCUCUCUAGUAUUUCUUCAGCCUACUCUACUCCUCCUGAAGUCAUCCAAAGCUAGCCUCUCACACUUGUGAGCUAGGGCAUCCAUGCCCCUCCUCAUCACAUGCCCAAACCAUCUCAGCCUUCCUUAUCGCAUCUUGUCCUCCACCGAAGCCACCCCACCUUAUCCCGGAUAAUCUCAUUCCUAACUCUAUCCCCUCUCGUAAGCCCACACAUCCAGCGCAACAUUCCCAUUUCCACCAACUUUAAUUUUUGAAUAUGGGAGUUCUUGACAGGCCAACACUCCGCUCCAUACAACAUAGCUGGACGGACUGCCACUCUAUAGAAUUUGCCUUUAAGUUUAAGGGACACCUUCCUAUCACACAACACUCCUUAUGCGAGCCUCCACUUCAUCCAACCUACUCUAAUAUGAUUAGAGACAUCCGCAUCAAUCUCUCAAUUUUCCUAAAUCGUAGACCCAAAAUACUUAAAACUAUCCCUCUUACAAAUAUAUACAUGCGAAAGAGAGAAACUUUGGAACUUUUAUCAUAUUAAUUAGGACUUAUUAAUUUUUAAAUUAUAUUUUUCUUAUCAUGUAUUUUAGGAAUUAAUUCUUAUCAUAUGUUUUAGGAUUUAUUAAUUUUUAAAUUAUAUUUUUCUUUUACCAUAUAUUUUAGAACUCCUUAAUUAUUGAAUUCUCUUAAUACUUCUUACCAUAUAUUUUUAGGACUCUUUUUCCUAAUUUUUAAAUUGUAUUUAUCUCUUACCAUAUAUUUUAGGACUCCUCAAUUAUUGAGUUCUCCUAAUACUUCUUACCAUAUAUUUUUAGGACUUCUUAAAUUAUUAUCAAUUUUAUAAAAUAAUGAUAUAAUAAUUGAAGGAAAAAAGUGAAAAGACGAUUUUGUCUAAAGCGUGGUCUUUUAAUAAAGGGCAAAAAGUUCAAAUCACUUUUCUAAAGUCCUUCACACUUUUAAUAUAUUAUAGAUUAUAGAAAACACCUAAUUGAUAUCAUUAAUUUCAAAUGUAUAUUUUUUACAAACUCAAAAUAUCGAAUACUGUAAGAGAAUUCUGACAUUUUAGAGUCAUCUUUCUAAGAUUCUAACAAAUUUUAAAAUCUUGAAUUUGAAAUGCAUUAUCUUUUUUUCUAAAACAAGAUAAAAAAGAAAUUUCAUUAUCGUUAGCUUGAAAUUAAGAACAUAAGAUUAUCCCUUUCAAAUAUAAUUUAAAAUAUAUUUAAAUAUUAAAUAAAAAAUAAAACAUUAAUCUAAAUAAUAAUAAUAAUAAUAAUAAUUAGUGAAAGUUUUCCAAGAAAAAAAUAGUAGAAGAAGCAACAAUAUGUGAGGUAUAAUAAUAAUAAUAAUAAUAAUAAUAAUAAUAAUAAUAAUAAUAAUAAUAAUAAUAAUAAUAAUAAUAAUAAUAAUAAUAAUAAUAAUAAUAAUAAUAAUAAUAAUAAUAAGUUAAUACUAUUAUUUUAGAAUCAAUAUGAUUAAUUUUAAAUAUUCUUUUUUAUUUAAUUUAUUUUUAUUAUAGAAAACACCUAAUUGGUAUCAUUAAUUUCAAAUAUAUAUUUUUUGCAAACUCAAAUAUAUAAAUUGCAAUAUAAUUAUGAUAUUUUAUAGUCUUAUAUUUCUAAGAUUCUAAAAAAAUUUAAAAUCUUGAAUUUGAAAAACAUUAUCUUUUUUUCUAAAAAUAAAAUAAAAAAAUUCAUUAUCUUAAAAAUAGAAACCCAUAGUUGAAGAGGUCUAGUAGACUUUUCGUAUUCCAAAUUUAUCUCUUUUAAAAUAUAAAUGCUAUAAAAUAUAUAUAAAACAAAUUAAUUUACUUUUAAAAAAAUCAUAAAAGAGCAAAAAAAAAGGGAAAAACAUAUGGAAAUGUUAAAAUAAGUUAAUAUUAUUAUUUUAGAAUCAAUAUCAUUAAUUUUAAAUAUUUCUUUUAUUUUAUUUAUUUUUAUUAUAGAAAACUCCUAAUUGAUUUUAUUAAUUUGAAAUAUAUUUUUUUGCAAACCCAAAAUAUGUAAAUUAUAAGAUAAUCAUGACAUUUUAGAAUCUUAUCCUUUUAACAAAUUGUUAUCAGCAUUCAAAUUUGAAUUUGAACGUAAUUUUAGCAUGCAUGAAUAUCUAGCUUCUUAUAUAUACUUACCUUCACUGACACAUAUGUCAUAUAAGCUUUCUUCUUCUCUAUCUAUUGUCAAUUAUUUUCAAAUUCAGAUUUUAUUAUCUCGAGAGAAUAUUUCGUGAUAGUUUCGUCCACAAAAGUACUAAUUAAUCUUUCUUUACAUUCUUUAUACUAUUUUGGUGCAUACACCGAAGGUUUGUUUGUUGUUUAUUUUUUAAAAUUACUUUUAAUUUUGAUGUCUCUACAUAUAUAAAAAUUUAUAGAAAUGAUUAGUUCCUCUUAUUCUUCUUUGAUAUCAUUAUAUAAAUAUAUUCUAAUUCUUUUUUAUUUUUAUUCAUUUUUUUUAUUAGAGUAAUAGAUUUUAUUUGCUCACUUUUUUUUUUUUUUGGUGAUUGCCCAGGUUAUUUGCUUGAAUCUCGAUUUUUUCAUUUGUCAUAUAUUAAUUUCAAUAAUAAAAUUUUUGACCUUUGGCUUGGUUGAUUUAGCUUUUUUUUUGUGUGUGUGUGCGCAUAUGCAUGCUUUUAUAUUAUAUUAUGUGAAUUAGUUUAGACUAUUAUGAUGUAAGAUGAACAUUGCCAUAACAUAAUAAUAGUAAUAGUAUCCUUUUAUGUUCUGAAUUAAAUUAGAAGCUAUAUAAAUUCAAUAGAAAUAAUAAGAUCCUAUAAUCUCAAAAAGUUUCACUUCUUUAUUUUAUUUAAUGAAUUAUGUUUAAAAUAUUCUCUUUCGUUCUUGAAAACUUUAACCUUAAAAUAUAUCUAUAUUUAAAUUUGAGUUAAUCAACAAAACUUUUAUAUUGAAAUGAUUUUAAAAAAUUAAUUGAAAGCUUAACAUUGACAAUUUAUAUUUAAUACUAAAUAAUGUGGUUACAAAAUUCUAUUAUUUUGUGGGAGUUCUAAACUUCAAAUAUACCUUUUGUAUGAGUUGUAUUAAAGACAAGAAUACCUAUCUAUUUUAUACACAAAUUUGCACCAAAAAAAAAAAAAAUAGACUUUUUAUUUGUAACAACAAAAUACAAGUUUUUAUAUCUUUUUUUUACUUUAUUUGAAAAUUGUUGUGCGUUUAUGAAUGUUUCUAAAUGUUUACUUUCUUUUUAUAUUUUAUAUAAUUGUUCACCUUUAAAUGAGCUUAAAAUUUUUUAAAAAUAAUUAUUAGGUAUCUAUUCUUUAUCAAUUACGCGAUUUCUUGCUGCCAAAAUGAAUAUUGUUUGUCAUCUAAUUCAAAAACACAUUUAAAAAAGUGUUAAUAUUUUAAUCAAAAGUCUUUGUGAAUUAUGUUUAAUUUAUAUUUUUUAAUGCUAUUUACGAAAGUGAUUAAAAAAGUUAUAGGUAAUAUUGCUCAUCAAAUUUCUAUAAAUAAAUAACUAUCAAGGUAUGUUGUCAUGCUUAUUUAGCCUUUUAAUUUUUUAUAUUAUUUAUUAUUAAGAUUAAUUAUUUUUUUAAUCACAGUUACAUACCUAAAUAUAAAUUAUAGAAUAAACAAUGAAAAGUCACCUAAAGAUAAAUUAUAGGACAAACAAAUUUAAUUAGAAAAAUUUGCUUUCACAUCAUUUAAUAAAUUGUAUAAUAUUUUAAAUUAAAACUAUGAUCAAAUAAUUUGAAGUGCUUGAAGAGCCAUAGGAAGAGUAAUCAAAUCUCAUAUUUAAAAUUAUAUUUUUGAAAGAAUUUUAAAUCAUCUUUCUACUUCAUCAGAGGUAGAAGUAUGGACUGCGUACAUCUUACCCCCCAGACCCCACUAGGUGGGAAUACACUGGGUUUGUUGUUGUUGUUGUUGUUGUUGUUUCAUACUUUAUCUUAAAUUUAUUGAUAUAGUUUGAGUAGGAGUUUUACGGAGUAGAAAUAGAGUGCGGGGCUAAAGCGGAAUGGUGGAGAUAAAUUUUGGUGGGUGGGUGGGUGAGUGGGGCGGAGGUAACGGUAGAAACAAAGUUUUAUAUAUUCUUUUGUAAUGAGCAAUAUUAUAAAUUGUAUGUGCAUAAUUUUAAAUUAAGAGUGGUAAAUUUUUAAAUUUGACAUAAAAAAAUUUGAAUUAGAGAACUUAAUUACUUUUAGUCCAGUUAGUUAUUGAUUUUGAAUCGAUAGACCGAAAUCAGCAACAAAACAUAGUUAUAUAAGAAUAGUAAUUUCAUUCUUUUCAUAACAACAUCUAAAAUAAUUGCGACUAUGAUUAGUAAUUUCACUAUUAACAAUUAUUUUUAGUAUUCUAUAAUCAAUUUAAAAUAUGUUAAUAUGAUAUAAUUAAAAAUUUCAAACAGUUUAUUAGUUCAAAAGAAUAAGUUAGUAUUUUUUUAACGAUAUUCUUAAAAAAGAAAUAUUUCGCACAUCGCGCGGGUACGUAAACUAAUUUUCUUCUAAAUCUAUACAAGAAGUUGAAAUUUACUUUCCGUCUAAAAGAAUGAGUAAUGGUAGGCAUGUGGUAUUAUCGGGCGCUAAGUUUAUACAAUUUGAAAAUAAGGACUAAUUUAGCUACUUUAACAAUGUUGAGGAUAUAUUUGACUAACUAUUAAUGAAAAACAAAUUUAUUCUAUUUUGAAUAGUUCAGGAGCAAAUUUAAUAUUUUGACCCGUAUAAUAAACAAUCUUAAUUUGAUACACUAUUAAACAAAUUAAAUAUCUACCACAUCAGUAAUAACAUACUAGGUAGUCACAAAAUGAGGUAUGAGAAAGAAUAGAAUGUUAUUAGAAGUUUACUCAACCUCAAAAGUAGAGAAAUUUUUUUGAAAAAAUCAAAUGACAAUGAUCAACAUUAUGUAAUAUGUGAGGCUGCAAAAUGGUUGUGGGAAAGAAUCAUAUACUGAUUGAAUGGCAAAAUUAUCAAAGUUUACAAAUUGGGAUCAGUACAUGAACGGGAGUAUUCUCAAUGCAAAAGGCAAAUCUUGUAGAGCUCAAGUAUUUAAAAUGGUAUAUGUUGAGGUGGUUUACGCCUUAUAAAUAGAGAGAAAUUAGAGAAUUUUUGAGAAGACCAAUAGAGAUUGGGAGGCUGUAGCAAAAUGCAUCAGUCACUAGUUACCUGCAACAAUCGUUUGGUUGGGAAAUUGUUAUCUCGGGAUAACUAAUAUUGGGAUUAGUUAUCCCGAGAUUAUCCGAGAUAACUUAUUCCAUCAUGUAUAUGGGAUAAGUUAUUCCAUCGCUAUGAUGUAAAUGAUGGAAUAUUUUAUCCACUAUUGAUUAAUCCCUUCAACCAAAUAUGAAAUAAAUUGAUCUUUAUUUUAUCCCAAAAUUACUUAUUCAAAGAACUACUUAUACCUCAAACCAAACGAUAAGAGUAAGAGUAGUGUUUGAUUUUAAUUUGAUAUUUUGAUUAGUUGGUUGUGUUGUUUAGGCUAGACUAGAGUUAUCCUUUUCUACUUUAGACAGCAAGGUGUGAUGCCUAUAUGAUGUAACUUUGUCAUUGUGCACACUUUUGGUGAUAAAUAUAAAAUGUUUAUUUAUCAAAAAGAAAAAAACAUUAUGUAAUGAUAUAAAUUUCACUAAUUAAAUUAUGUAAACACUAUAACAAUAUUACAAACAUUUUACAACAUAUAAUUUGAAGUUUAUAGCAUGAAACAUUACAAUAACAAUAAUAACAUUUCUACUUAUCUAGAGAAAUUUCAUAAAUCGAAAUUAAGAAACAUGCAAAUUUCAUCAAUACCCAAAAAAAAAAAAGAUAAUAUUAUAUUUAAAAGAAAGCACAAUAACAUAUAAAGAAUUAUCAUGACAUUUUGCAUAAUAAUAGGGAGAUAAAAACAGGUAAAAAUUUCUAUUCACAAAAUUUUCAAGCCAAAGUUUCGUCCUUUUUUUUAAUUUUUUGGUAGAAGGCGAAAGUUUCCACUCAUAUCUGAAUAAGACCAUAGAGACUUAGCUCUAAUUAUUUAUUUUCUUUUUGCAUGCAAAUUUUUGAUAUCCUCAUGACAAAGACCUGUCACUUUGAUGGCUAAAGAGAAGAUGUCAUAAUUUUGCUAAAGUAAAUCAAAAAUGAAGACGGCAAACAACUACUUUGGACGGAGCAGUUGAAUCUAAUAAAUUUAUCUUAAAUGAUGUAUUUUUUUUAUCAUUCAUGUAUCUCAACUUAUAAUAAUUUAAUUUUGAUUUUUUCUUUUUACUUUUAAUGAAAUAAUUUACGGACAUAAUAAUUUAGACCACAAAUUUAAUUUUUUUUCCUUAAACUUCAUGUCCAUUCAAACUGACUUGUAUAAUUUGAGACAGAAGAAACAUAAAAUUAAUCUAUAUAUAUAAUUUUAAAUUUUCAACUUCAUUAUUAACAUUUAAAUCAUUAUUAUAGAAUUUAGAACUCAUAAAUUUAAAUUUAUAUGUAUAUAUAUACACAUCUCUCUAUAUAUAUGUAUAUAUUUUCUCCAUUUUAAAAAGAAUGAUUUAUUUUGACUUAACACAAAGUUUAAGAAAAUAAAGAAGAUAUUUGAAUUUUGUGGUCUUAAAUUAAAGUUGUGUUAAAUGUACUAAAAUGUUCUUUAAUUUUGUGUUUCUAAAUAUAUCAUGUGGAAAGUUAAAAUUAAAGUAUUACCAAAAAAGAAAAGAGAUCAUUCUUUUUGAAAUUAAAAAAAAACAAGUAGGUUAUUUUAUUUUUUAAACGGAGGAAGUAUAUAAGUCAAAAGUGUAAUAAGAAAAAAAAAAAAAAAAAAAGCAAUCAUCAAUAGCCACUCUCAAUACAAAGUCAAGAUUCUUAAUUCCACUAUGUAAUAAGUUUCUUUUCUUUGUCUUAAAAAAGAAAGUUUUAAAUUAAAAUAAAUAAAACAAUAAAACAUAAAGAAGAUUACGCAACCAAUGACGUGUUGUGGGCCCAACAAAGGGUGGUGACAGCAUAUGCAGCGUCAGCUUAACCACUUCACCCUCUUACCGACACCUCAUAUAUCACACCUAACACCAAACGGGUCCAGUAUCAUAUACUAAUUCGGGUCGGGUCAAAUAUCUCAUUUCUAUUAUUUUGGCAAUCAUAGUAGGCAAAAGUAAUGUAAUAUUAAAUGAUUUCUAAAAUUAAUUAAACAAAACAAAUGAAAAAAGAAAACAAUCGGGUCAAACCAAAUAAUGAGAUAUAGCAAUAAAUCGGGACCGGAGUCUUUAUCACAAUCAUGAAUAUUGGUUUCUUAUGCAUAAUUUGAAAAAAUAAUUUAUUUAUCUCAAUUUAUGCGGACAUUUUUUAAAAAUUAUUCUUAAAAAUAUCAUUUAAAGAAUUUAAUUAAAAAAAGUUUUUGUACUUAAUAAAAUAAUUUAGAAAUUUUCAAUUUUUUUGUUUGAGAGAAAACACUUACGUCACCUUUUCUUCUACAUACUACUAGACAAGCAUGAUCUGUGUCACCAUGAGCCCAACAUUAAAAUAUUUAUUUGUUUUUUUAAUCUUGAUAUAUUUAAAUAAAAGUUUUUAAUAAAAAAAUUGCAUAUGUUUUCUAGAAUUCAUCCGAAAUCUAGCAUGAAUUCAACAUAUGUUAUUUUAAUAUGUAUUUAGAUAAUUUAAGUCAUUAACUAUUGUAAUUUAUAAUAUUUUUUUUAUGUAUUUUUCAAAUUAAUAUACGUUAUUUUUCUUGUCCAAUUUUUUGUGGCAUUGAUAGUCAAUUAUAUUUUAAAAACAAUUUAAGUUUUUAAUUAUUGUGAUUUAUAACAUUUUUCUUCUAUUCCAAUUUCAGUGGCACUAAUAUAAUUUCAAAAGCGGACCAAAUAUUUUAUAUCUUUUAAAUUUUUUAAGUUGUUGAUUAUUGUGAUUUCUAGUAUUUGUCAUGUAAUUUUUUUUGAAAUAUAUAACAUAUUAAUUUUUUUUUUUAGAUAUUUUAAGUUGUUUACAAUUGUAAUUUAUUAUAAUUUUUAUGUAAUUUUUGAAUAAUAUAUGUUACUCUCCUUGUCUAGUGUUUUGUGUCGACAAUAGCCAAUUAUAUUUUUUAAAUAAUUUAAAUUUUUUAUCAUUGUGAUUUAUAAUAUUUUUUCUAUCUCAAUUUAUUUGACACAAUGCUUAAAUGAUCAUAAUAAUUAAUUAGGGGUAAUAUAGUAAAAUCACAACUGAAGCAGAAAUCAGUCAAUUUUUUUUGAAAAAUUGUUAAUUAUUGUUAUUUACAGUACUUUUUAUUUCAUUUUCAAAUAAUAGAUGUUGCUUUAUAUCUUCUUCUGUCUCGUCCCAAUUUAUGUGGCACUAAUAUAAGUUUGAUAGUAAAUCAAAUAUUUUAUGUUGACAUAUCAUUUUAUUAUUCUUAUUUUUCUAAUACAUAAAUGACUUAUAAUAAGGAGUGAAAUCAUUGUUCGAAAGACGAAAAUUUAAUUUAAAAUAUUGAGAGUUAAUUUCACAUUUUAUGUCUAUUUUAUUUUUCAUGAAAUAUUAUUUAUUUACUUAAUACCUAGAUGACUCAUAAUAAUUAAUUAAGACCGACUGAUUAUGUUAUUACUAUAAAAAUUAAUAUAAUUUUAUCAUAUCCAAUAGUAGUCAUCUAUAAUUCACCGAAAUAGUAUAUUAAUUAAAUACGAAAUGCUAUAUUUGCAUAUGCAAAAUAUGNNNNNNNNNNNNNNNNNNNNNNNNNNNNNNNNNNNNNNNNNNNNNNNNNNNNNNNNNNNNNNNNNNNNNNNNNNNNNNNNNNNNNNNNNNNNNNNNNNNNNNNNNNNNNNNNNNNNNNNNNNNNNNNNNNNNNNNNNNNNNNNNNNNNNNNNNNNNNNNNNNNNNNNNNNNNNNNNNNNNNNNNNNNNNNNNNNNNNNNNNNNNNNNNNNNNNNNNNNNNNNNNNNNNNNNNNNNNNNNNNNNNNNNNNNNNNNNNNNNNNNNNNNNNNNNNNNNNNNNNNNNNNNNNNNNNNNNNNNNNNNNNNNNNNNNNNNNNNNNNNNNNNNNNNNNNNNNNNNNNNNNNNNNNNNNNNNNNNNNNNNNNNNNNNNNNNNNNNNNNNNNNNNNNNNNNNNNNUAUAUUUACUCCUUGUGUCCCAAUUUAUGUGGCUUCGAUACAAUUUUGAAAGUCAACUAAAAUUUUUAUAUAUCUUUUAAAUAUUUUAAAUUGUUAAUUAUUAUGAUUUGCAACACUUUUUUUAUCUCAAUUUAUGUGGAAUUGCUAAAAUAAUGGGAGUCGAUAAAAUUUCUAUAUGUGGUAACAAAUUAGUUUUGAACAUGAUAGCCAAUUAAAUAAAUAAAAAUUUUUACUUCCAAUAUGUAGUUAUAGUUAAUUAAUAUAAAUUAAUAGAAUAUAUUAAAUAUUUAAAUAAUUAUGAUGAAAUAAUGGAAUUAUUAUAUAUUGGGACAUGUAAUUAAGUGGGAGUAGAGGAUUUUUUUGAUAGGAGUCAAUAAAAUGGAAUUAUUAUAUAUUGGGACAUGUAAUUAAGUGGGAGUAGAGGAUUUUUUUGAUAGGAGUCAAUAAAAUUUUUGUAUUUCUUUUAAAUAUUUUAAAUUAUUAGUUAUUGUAAUUUAUGGUAAUAAAUUAAUUUUGAACAUUAUAAAUAAGUAAAAAUUUAAUAUAUAACUAUAAUUAAUUAAUAUAAAUUAAUAAAAUAUAUUAAAUAUUUAAAUUAUUAUGAUGAAAUAAUAAAAUUAUUAUAUAUUAAGACAUCAUAUGUAAUUAUGAUGAAAGGACCAAAUAUAAUAGAAAUUUCAAGUGUAUACUCUUUCCGCCUUUUACGAAACUUCGUUGAGACACAUGGGUCCACUCCCUUGUCUCCUUAAACUUAAAGUAACCCAACACAAAAUUUUCUUGAAUUCUAACCCCCUUUUUAUCUUUUCUGGUUUUUCAUCUGAUCUUAUCUUAGCUUGAACCAAAAAAAAACAAGAAGUUAUUGGAAAUUUUUUUUGGUUGUCCUUGACUGAGGUGAAUUCUAUACCAUUUGAUUAAGUUGUGAUAACGAGUUGAAGGUUAUUGUUGCAAAAUUUGCCAGUUAUGUUGACUUAAUGUGAAAGCUGGUUGAAUUUUCAUUUGGGUAAGUUGUGAUCAAGCUCUUGAAUAUUUGCAUGUUGUAUUCUUGAGAAAAAGGAUAGUACAAUUUAUACGGUGAAAUUGCAGUUUAGUUAAAGGGAGGAUUUGAGUUGUAGUUUGGAAUUUGCUUAUUUUCUUGAUCUUAGUUGUAGUUUUGGUCAAACUUUAUUGAUGGUUGAUUAAGGUUUUGGAGAGGUUGUUUUUCUGCAUAGAGAAUAUUGUACUUUGGAUAACAACUUUUGAUUUUCUGGAGAUUGAUUAUCUUAGAUGUAGAUAAAUUUUGUGUAUUUUUUGGCCUAUACAAUUGUGAAAUGGCAAUUUCUGCUGAACCAUCAUCAUCUAUAAGCUUUACUUCAACUUCCAACACAUCGAAUGGUGGGUCGAUUGACAUUGGCCAAAACACAUGUGCCUGUGGUGGCACUGAGACAGGGAGUAGUUAUGAAAUCAUCAGCUUGAGUAAACUCAGUAAUAAUUUAGAGCAACUCUUGUUGGAUUCCAGUACUGAUUUUAGUGAUGCUGAGAUUGUUGUUGAGGGUGUUUCAGUUGGUGUUCAUCGUUGUAUAUUAGCUGGCAGGAGUAAUUUUUUCCGGGAUCUUUUUAGGAAAGAAAAGGGGAAUUGUGGAAAGGAAGGUAAGCCAAGUUAUUCUAUGAUCGAUAUUUUGCCUUAUGGUAAGGUUGGAUAUGAAGCUUUUCGUACUUUUUUAAGCUAUUUGUACUCGGGGAAGUUGAAGCAGUUCCCUCCAGAGGCAUCAACAUGUGUGGACCCUUUAUGUGCCCAUGAUUCUUGCAGCCCAGCUAUCAAUUUUCAUGUCGAGUUGAUGUAUGCCUCUUACGUGUUUCAGGUUCCAGAGCUAGGGUCACUUUUUCUGGUUGGUAACAUCCUUUCUGCUGAUUAAUAUACAUUUCAAGUGGGUUUGUAGUGUUCAUUGUGAUUCAAGCUAACAAGGACAAAUGCAAAAGGUUAUAGGCUUUUAGCUCGAUGACGAUAAUUAGAUAUAUUAUGAAAUCUCGAUGUAAGUUUUUGAUUUGAAAUGAUUUUUACUUCUAAACUGAUGGUAAACUGUCAAAGAAAGAAAAAUUCAAUACAUUAAUCAUAUUGAAGUGACAUACACGGCAAGACCAUUGUGGUGUGAAUCGAAAUCCAUUCAUUUGCUCAUACUUUAGUCGCUACUCUCGUCAUGAUAUUCUUUUCAGUUAAUAUUGUUUGCUCGGAGAAAAGUAGUUCUAAGUUUUUUUUAAACAGAAAAAGUUACUCAUUGCAAUAGGACCUUGUCGAGUUUACAUGAAAUAUCUCCAACUCAUCGAUGGAUAUAACAUUUGGAACUCACUUGAUGUUAUUAUGCAAUAAAUUUGAUUCGUCUGUGUUGGUAUCUUUGAGUUUAGCUUGCAUAUUUAAUAAUUGUGCUUUAGGCAGUCGGAUAUCAUUGUUAGUUUAAGUUUUGAGGGUAGUGGUCUCUGUGGUAACCUUUUCAAAUCUGUCUAAUGUUUAAUAAACACAAUGUAUAUUGAGGGCACGUAAUCUAAGGCUGCUUCGAGUUUAUGCAUUUGUAAAAAAUAUGUAGAGCUUUUUUAGCAGCAACCAAGAGAACAGUCUGCUAACACUAGCUUGUAUAAUUGCAGCGACGCCUUAUCAAUUUUGUCGGGAAGGCUCUUGUGGAAGAUGUUAUCCCAAUACUUGGAGUUGCUUUCCAUUGCCAAUUGGACGAGCUUCUCACUCAUUGCGUUGAUAGAGUAGCGCGAUCAGAUCUUGAAAGCACAUGUAUUGAGAAGGAGGUUCCCUUUAAAGUUGCAGAGAGUAUUAAGUGUUUGCGGCUGAAAUGUCAGGGUGAUGAAAGCAAGGUUCUACCCAUGGAUCCCUUGCAUGAAAAGAGAAAAAAUAGGAUAUACAGGGCAUUGGAUUCGGAUGAUGUUGAACUUGUCAAGCUUCUACUUAACGAGUCUGACAUAAGUUUAGAUGAAGCCUAUGCUCUUCAUUAUGCUGUUGCAUAUUGUGAUCCCAAGGUUGUUACAGAGGUUCUUGGACUGGGUGUUGCUAAUGUCAACCUUCGAAAUACACGUGGUUACACUGUGCUUCACAUUGCUGCCAUGCGUAAGGAACCAUCAAUUAUUGUAUCACUUUUGACUAAGGGAGCUCAUGCAUCGGAGAUUACAUUGGAUGGGCAGAGUGCUGUUAAUAUCUGUAGGAGGCUGACUAGGCCUAAGGAGUACCAUGCCAAAACCGAACAAGGCCAGGAAGCAAACAAAGAUCGGGUAUGUAUUGAUGUUUUGGAGAGAGAGAUGCGUCGCAACCCAAUGGCAGGAGAUGCCUUACCCAUGUUGGCCGAUGAUCUGCCCAUGAAACUGCUCUACCUGGAAAACAGAGGUACCUUUUAUAAUACGCUUGGGUUUUCCACUUUUUACCAAUCAAGGCCCAAGCAACUACUAGUCUUCGAGUUCUGGAAGCUAAACUUCUUUGUUGGAAAUUCACACUAAGCAAGAUUAGUGGUCCUACUGGACUUUGUUCAUUUAUAAUAGUUGUGUAACUAAGAUUUAAUCAUUUUGUAUGAUUAGUUCAUGAUUUCAAAUCUGGAAAACUCCGAAGAGAAUAUACACUGAAUUUGUGAGGAAACCUUAACUGUUAAUGUUGAAAGCAUGGUAAUGUGCUGGUCUAUUUGCACCAGGAUAUGCUGUCGAUUAGUAGACGCUCACCUCCAAGUUUUGGUACAUGAACUACAGUGUUAUCAUUUUUUGGACAAUGACGCUGGUCACAAUACCAGUUAAUACCACACUGAUAGUAUGAGGGAAUUUAGGGUAGACUAAUCCAGUCCAAAGAAAAAAAAAACGUUAACAUACACGCACACACACACACACACCCGAGUAACUUCUUCAUUAUAAGAUGACUUGGAAGAUAGCCAGGAUGUUAUCAUUUACCAAUGUUUGCAUCUGUUUAGUACAAUAUCUAUUCUGUCAAAAUUGACUUGGUUUCUUCAUUCAAUUCUGAUGAAUCUAUACCACUCAACAAGUUAUUUUGUGUUGGCUUUUGUUUUACAGUGGCAUUCGCACGGUUAUUGUUCCCUCUUGAAGCCAAACUAGCCAUGGAAAUUGCAAAUGCUGAGACAACAGCUGAAUUUGCGGACCAUUUGACAUCCAAAGGUUCAUCUGGAAACUUGAGGGAGGUUGAUCUGAAUGAGACACCCUUAAUGCAAAAAGAGAGACUCUCAAAGACAGGUAUCCACUGAUAGACAGUUUAUUGAUUAAGCUCGUCUUACAUGCACCAGAUUACCUAUUUAUUUCUACUUGCAUCAUUAUCUAAUCAGUAGCUAUUAAUUGACAUUAAGAGCAUCUAGACCUGAACCCAUUUUCUGCUUCCUCCCUCCUUUUCUCCCAAAAGAGGAAAAGAAGGAAAAACAAAGAAUGAAAACUACUUUUGGUUUAUUCUCUAGCAUUAACAAUUGAUGUUAAAUCCCCGAAAUGUCCAGGAUAAUAGAAUAAUUAAUAUGUGCAUGUGUGAAGGAUUUUGCCAACCUUCGACAUGACUUUAGUAUGUCACUUUAUAUGCAAUUUUCUUUUUCAUUAAAUACCCUUCUGACUUGAAAGAACGACUAUAUAUAUAAAAUUAUAACUGGCAGCAUGUACGUGUCAUGCCUGUAAGUAUGAUUAUAUAAAGUGGAAAUUCAGACUUCAAACUGUAAUAUCUUUGACCAAAAUAUGGCGAGUAACGACUUCUUAUCCUACUUCAAGUCAUUUCUUCUGUAGUCUCGCAAAAUUGUCCAUCUCUUACUGUUGGUCCGUUCCCUCCCUUGACAUUUACAGUUAAGAAGCAGCAAGAAGGGAAACACCAGGUUUGUAGUUGUCUAUAUAGGUGAUCAUUAGUUUGGACCUCUUUAUCCUCAAAGGUGUAAAAUCUUCCCUUCUGUUGUUCGUUUUAGGACAGAUAGUAAAAAGAGACGGAUGAAAGUUUUUAUUUGGACCAACUGGUGUCUCUUAUUCCCAAACGUGUUCAUUUCUCUUAUCUUCCCUUUCCUAGUUUCUAGGCAGUGUGAAGAAAAAGGGAAAAAAAAGUGAAAUAGGUACAUGGUUUUCUUUAGAGAAGAAUCAACAAGAUAUAACAAGCUCAUUAUUUCUUUAUUUUUUAUUUUUGAUAACCGUGCUGUCCGGGACAAGCUUUCACGCACCUGGAGUAAAUCCACGAAAUACGUACCACCUCCCACUAGCAACAAAUCAGGUAACUCUAUCCAUCAAGGCUAGGCCGAAUGGAAGACCUAGUUUUUUUUUUGUUUGUGCUGAGAUUUGAACCCGAGACUCGGGUUUUCAACCCACUUCAUUGACCAAUAGGCCACAUCAGCUCAUUAUAUUUUCUCUAUACGGUAAUCCCCACCCCUCCGCACCCUUAGACACUCUCUGUCCAGGAGUCAUGGGUGGUGCUCCCGUGGUUGUCUUAAACCCCCAACCUCUUUGGUUAGAGGUUGAGGGUUUCUUGGACUAGUCUACACCUCACUUUUCAAGUGCAGAUCCUUAGUUUGUUGUCUUUUUUAUACAUGGCAUCAUGUCUUGAACUUUGAGUACCUUGGUCAUUUAAGUCUGGCAUAUCACUGAUUUCCCCAACCUUCCAGUUUACUACUGAAUGUUGCUGGAAAGUUGGCAUAUGACUUAGUUGAGCUUUUCCCUUUCUUUACAGCUAACUGUUCCUUCAGCAGGNNNNNNNNNNNNNNNNNNNNNNNNNNNNNNNNNNNNNNNNNNNNNNNNNNNNNNNNNNNNNNNNNNNNNNNNNNNNNNNNNNNNNNNNNNNNNNNNNNNNNNNNNNNNNNNNNNNNNNNNNNNNNNNNNNNNNNNNNNNNNNNNNNNNNNNNNNNNNNNNNNNNNNNNNNNNNNNNNNNNNNNNNNNNNNNNNNNNNNNNNNNNNNNNNNNNNNNNNNNNNNNNNNNNNNNNNNNNNNNNNNNNNNNNNNNNNNNNNNNNNNNNNNNNNNNNNNNNNNNNNNNNNNNNNNNNNNNNNNNNNNNNNNNNNNNNNNNNNNNNNNNNNNNNNNNNNNNNNNNNNNNNNNNNNNNNNNNNNNNNNNNNNNNNNNNNNNNNNNNNNNNNNNNNNNNNNNNNNNNNNNNNNNNNNNNNNNNNNNNNNNNNNNNNNNNNNNNNNNNNNNNNNNNNNNNNNNNNNNNNNNNNNNNNNNNNNNNNNNNNNNNNNNNNNNNNNNNNNNNNNNNNNNNNNNNNNNNNNNNNNNNNNNNNNNNNNNNNNNNNNNNNNNNNNNNNNNNNNNNNNNNNNNNNNNNNNNNNNNNNNNNNNNNNGCAGGAUUGUUUGCACAUAAAGGUUCCAUUAUGAAUUGAGAAUUUCAGAACGAUAUUUUCAAGUUCCUCUUCUCGUUAUUCUAAACCGGUUCUGAUUUCAUGGUUGCAGUUGAGCUUGGCAGACGCUAUUUUCCUCAUUGCUCUCAAGUUCUGGAUAAGUUUAUGGAGGAUGACUUGCCCGACUUAUUUUUCCUUGAGAAGGGCACUCCAGAGGAACAAAAGAUCAAGAGGAGGCGAUUUAAGGAGCUCAAACAUGAUGUUCAAAGGGCAUUUAACAAAGACAAGGCUGGACUUCAUUGCUCUGGCUUGUCUUCAUCAUCAUCUUCCACCUCUUUUAAAGACGGUACAAGUAUCAAAGUCAGGAAACUAUGAUAGUAACUAGGUUUUGUCCUACAAGUUGUUUGUAAACUCAGUUUUGGAUGUAAGAAUAAUAGCCUUUGAAACACCUACCUUGUAAAACCUUCAUUAGAGUGCCUGCUCUAUCGUUGACCAUUUUCAUAGUUCAUCUUGUUAAACUUGCUUGUUUACAGUAGAAAUAAAGUUGCAUAAGAACACGAUUGUAGAAAUAUUAAUGAUGUGGAAAUGAUUCACGUAUAUGGGGAAUUUACCGUAUUUUGUAACUAGGUAGAGAUAUUUGGAUCAUCAUUUUUGAGAAUGAGAUGGGCAUUUCUUGUCACAGAAGAUGGUGUUUAUGUUGUGUUGCAGAUCAUUUUCAUGUUACAUUCUUGAAAAACAAAAAUUUUGGUACUAAUUUUGCCUCACCUAUAUCUUCUUUUCUAUUCAAGUCAGAAUAUGAUCUCACAAGUUCAUCAACAAAUGCGCUUUUUUUUUUUAAACAUAAGUUGAAAAGUAAGAAACUACAUGUAGGUGUUUUGCAAAAAGUUAUCAGCCAUUACCAUGGGUAAAUUCAAAGCAUUUCAGCUCUUGUAUUAUCUGUGUGAUUUGAAAGAUGCCCAGAACGUGAACAUAUUCGUGGGCUCUACAUAUUUGGCACCAACUUCAUGCACACAACAAUAGCAGCCUUGUGUAAUCCAACUUGAUGCAUAGUAAUGAAAUUAACAUUUGAUUAAGAGACACAUUGGAAUUGUUUUUAUAACUCUGGUGUCCAAGCACGUUUGCGUACAAAUCCAGCAGAUAUCUGCCACCUCCCACGAGUACACGUACUAAGUAACUCUGUCCACCAAGACUUGCAUAUGAGCAGAAGUGAUCUAGCAUUUUGUUCACAAAAUUAUUCCACCCACACAUAGUAAUGUUGAGAAAGAAAGCGCAGGCGCACAAAUCAUGGCCUGUUCAAGACAAAGGAGUUUUGUGGCCAAACCAAUAUUGUUUCAUAAUUACAUAACAAUACAUCAUGAACAGUUUAUUAUUUGGGAUAAAGAUUAGGGAAAAGGGAACACAACUCAGAAUGAGAUAAUUGAUAUUUAACAGGAAAUGCCACAAUCUAUGGUUGUGAAAAUCAGGGGCAUACCAGAAGAAAGAGAAUAACAGAAGCAGACAGAAAAUGUAGUACACAAAGAAACAAGCAAAAGAAGAAGUGUACUUCUAAAUUCUGAUAGUAACAGAAUAGAUUGCUUUCUUUGUUCUUAAAGAGAAUCCCCUCCCCCACAUGAGAGAAAGAUUCUUGAACCUUACUCAGGAUAAGAAACUUGACCGGAAAAAAAAAGACAAGAAAAUUGAGAGAAUUGACAAACCUAUACAGGUCUAACGACUUGCCUCCCAAAAUCACGUACUAAGCCGGGGGUCUAUCGGAGACAGCCUCUCUACUUCUCUACUUCACCUGAGGUAGUGGUAUGGUCCGCGUACACUCUACUCUACCCUCCCCAAACCUCACUAUGCGGGAAUACACUGGGUAUGUUGUUGUUGAUUCCCAUGCCAACUAGCCCGCACCUCGACUAAUCCUCCAGGCGGCCACUAUCUCCCACCAACACAUACCAACUAAUUCUAUCCAUCAAGGCUUAUCAAAAGGAUGGCAGGUCGGAUAUUAUUUUACAAGUCUAAAGAUAUGUAACAGACAGAUUUUACCACAAGCUUCUGUAUAUGAAAUCAGUUCAUGAUACCUAACAAAAUAUCGAGAGUCCGCUCGUCUAAAGCAUGAAGAGGAGUUGUGAUGGGAGUAGCAGCUACCAACCGGGAUGAGAAGUCCUUUAACUGAAAGAAAGCAGAGUAAAACCAAGUGAUCCCCCCCUUCUGAAACUUCAAAAUAUCAUUGAGUGAUUUGUGUCCCCUAACAAGAGACGUAUUAAGAAUCUUAACCGAAAAAAAAAAUAAAAGGUACAACACUGCACAUUCAAUUAGAAAUACAUUUUUCUAAAAAAACAGCUUAAGAAAAAUGGCCACUUUAUUCAUCAAAAUCGAUAUUGAAAAUCAAUUAGCUGAUUGAAGUGAACUUUUUAAACUUUCCCACAUUGCUGGACCUUCAGGAUGUAUGUCAACAAAAUAUUUUACAAAGCGAGUAUCUGAACAAGCAAGAAGAGUGCUCACUGACAAUGUUGGUUUUGCAGCACCCUUUUGCUUCAGCCAUGCAUACAUUGAAAACCGACGAUGGACUCUGUCCACAUCAUAGCAGAGGUAAGAUGGAAAUGAUACAAUCGACUCCACGGGAUAACCUAAAUAUGUUUUCAGUAAAUCAAUUUUCUUCUCAAUCACAUUUUUGCUCUGGUUCAGCGUCGUUGGAGCUCGUUUGAUCAUAUUGAUUACAACAUUGCAGUCCAAACCAGCAUUUACUAGGCAAUCAAACCUCUCUUGCAAUUGGUCUCCCCGUCCACGGAACUGUUUCAAAGCUUUUGCCAUCUCAUCCGUAUUUUCUAAGUAACCUAAUCUCAAUAAGAAAGUAGUUUUCUCAAAUAAUUUUCCCGGGCUCUGGGAAGUCAUCUGAUCCACGUUAAAUUUUGAUUUUGAAGCUAGUCUAAAUAAAUUCAAAGGAUCAUCCUUUACAGUCUGACAUAAACGACACUUGUCACCCUUGAAGCCCCUCAAAACAGUCUUUGGUCCCUUCAGAGAAUGUGAACCCAGAAGUUGUAUAUGUGCAGAUACAAUGUUUGAAAUGUUAUCGAUCUCUAAUCCAAUCUCCAAUAAGAAGUACAAUGCAUGCCAGAGAUUUUUAGCACACUUCAGAGAUAGAAUAUUAGGAUUUUGACAGAAUAGUGAGUAUACGUCAUUCAUUUUAAGACCCAACUUCAGUAAUUGCCCAACCAAUACAUAAAUCCGUUUCCCAGAGCCUUCAAAUAAGAAUGCAGGGUUCAUCUUAAACAAAGUCGCUAUCUUUUCAUCGCUAUAUCCUAUUUCAUUGAGAAAAUGCAAUGUGUUAAGCAUUCUACCCCAACUGUAGGAGUGCCUGUUGGAUAAAUAUCCUCCCAUCCAAUCAUUUUCAAACCCUAAAAUUUUCAAUUUUUCAAGAACCUGAAGAAGUUCGCUGUUCAUCUCACCAAGCAAAAGAGUAGGGGAAGAAGUCACCAACUUUAUAACUGUUGAUCUGCUCAACCCCAGUUUCUCAUAAGCCUUCAAUUUCAUAUCUAAUACUCCAUCUUCAUAUCCAAAUAUCUCAGUCGCAUCCCUAUAAAUCUUCCCAAGUUUAGUGCGAGGGAUGCCAUAAUAACAAAGAACAUGAUAAUUAUCAAGCAAGACAUGGUCAUCACUCAAAAACAUCAAAUCUCGUGGAAGCAUAGAUGUAACCUCAGACGGUUUCAACCCCACGCUCUCCAAGAACGGCUCAAACUCAUUAAUCGGAUAAUAUCUAAAGAAGCGGGUCAAUGCCCUUGUUACAUCUUGAUCAUUAUCAAUCUUGGACAACAAACUUUGAAGGAAAUGAGGUGAAUUCUUGCUAAUAUGCUCAGCAUCCAUAUAAUUAAAACCUCUAGUACAAUGCAAGUAAUCAAAAAGAGCUGCUUGUCCAUCCGUUCUUGCGACCCGCGUUAUUUUACUCACAGCAGGAAAAACAGGUGUCUGAGUUGUCAAUUCAGGGACUGAAACCUUAACAUUAUGUGAACUACGAAAACAUCGAAUAUUCAACGAUUGAAAGUUCUGGGGACUAAUCAAAGUGGAACCCUUUUCAGUAAUAGGAGAAACAAAUAAGUGAUUAACCUGAGAUAUCAUUUUCCAAGAUACAAUUUUUCGGACUCUCCGAAUUACUAACAUCUCAAAUAGAAUAUAUAAUUUCUAGCCUAUGCAAAUAGUCCAAGAAACUUUCAUGGGUGAUUCAUUUUCUACAUAAAUACAUUAAAGAUAUCACAUUAAUGUACAAUUGUUCAGCAAAAGAUGGUUUUUUUUUUUGGUGAUUUUACAAGUCUAAUAGAGUGAAAUUGAAGGAAUUGUUGAUACCUCUGAUUGUAAUUGGUGCUUCUUUGUGCCUUAAUCAACAAUGCUUAGAUACAAAGAGGAUAAUAGGGUUUUAGCUUAGAUACAAAGAGGUAGUUGAGAAUUCUACAACCCUAGAAGGGAGGAGGAAAAAGGAAACCCAACCCGCUACUCCAAGCCCCACGCCACUCCACCCCACCCCACCCCACCCUAUACCCCCAAACCUCCUGCUCCUUCUGUCGGUUUUUUCUUUUAUUUUAUGUUACACGAAAGCCCAUGUAUUAUUGUUCAGUUGGAAAUAUCCCUUUAUAGUUUAAAAUUUAUACACUUAACUCCCUUUAAUAAAUACUCUCCCGUCUCGUUUUACUUUUGACUCUCAGGGGUCGUUUGGUUUGAAAAUGGUUAUUUCGGAAUAAAUAAUUAUCCCGAGAUAAAAUUAAAAAAUGCAUUUUUCUUUAUUUGAUUGGAGGAAUUAAUUUAACUCGAGAUAACUUAUCCCAUAUACAUGGUGGGAUAAGUUAUCUUGAGAUAACUAAUCUCGGUAUUAGUUAUCUUGGGAUAACCAUUUUCAAACCAAACGACACCUUACUAAUACUUAAACUAAUUGUUUCUGUUAUAAAAUAAUAAAGAAUAAAGAAAAAGAGUAGAGAGAGAAGAGAGACUUCUUUAUUUCUCUUGAGGGAUGAAUUACAAUGAAGCAAAACUCUUUUAUUUGUAGGAAAAAACCAAUAGACAUACACAAUAUAUGGUAAAGUAGGUAUUCACUAUAUAUGGUAAAGUAGACAUUCACUAUAUAUGGUAUAUUUAUAACACUCCCCCUGAAUGUCUAAUUGAUAGAUAAUGUGCAUCAUUAAAAUCUUACUAGAAAAAACCCAGUGAAAAAAAAAAUCUAGUGAAGGAAAAAAAUAUACAUCUCUAACAAUACGCAUAUAGGUUGCCUCAUUAAAAACCUUACAAGAAAAAUCCAGUGAGACAAAACCUCGUAAGAAAAAAAGAGUACAACGCGUAUUAACUCUCCCUAAUGAGAACAUCCUUGAGCCUUUGCAUCCCAAUCUUGUGCACCAUCUUCUUGAAAGUUGUAGUUGGAAGAAACUUGGUGAAUAAAUCAGUCAUAUUAUCACUUGAAUGAAUCUGUUGCACGUUAAUAUCACCAUUCCUUUUAUAGCUCAUGUGUAUAGAAAAGCUUUGAUGAGGUGUGCUUCGUUCUAUCUCCUUUGAUGAAUCCUCCAUUAAGAUGUUCUAUGUAUGUUGCAUUGUCUAUGUAUAAAACUGUGGGUGCAUUGUCAUAUUUCAGACGACAUUUUUCUCGAAUGAGAUGUAUCAUGGACCUCAACCAUAUACAUUUUCGGCUAGCAUCAUGAAUAACUAUUAUCUCAUCAUGGUUCAAUGAAGUGUCUAUAUAGACUGUUUUGUAUAUCUCCAAGAUAUAGCAGUAUCCCCACAUGUAAAUAAAUAGCUUAUUUGAGAUCGAGCUUUAUACAGGUCAGAUAAGUACUCAACAUCAGCAUAACCAACAAGAUCGGGACUAUAAUCUUUAGAGUAAAAUAAGCCCAUAUAUUUUAUCUCAUUUCGAUGUCUCCUAGUAGGACCAAAACUAUAUCUUGCUAACAAAUUGACCGAAAAAGGUUAUGUCAUGCCUUGUAGUAUUUGCAAAUACAUUAGUGCACCAAUUGCAAAAAGAUAUGAUACUUCAUAACAAAGGAGUUCCUCAUUUUUUUUAUUGAGGUCGGAAUCAAUCCUUAUUCAAUUAUGUAUGUUUCUCAUUUAAGCAAAUAUUCUAUUGCUUUUGAAAACUCUCCAAGAGUUUCAAUAAUUUUCAAGUUAUAAGCUUAUACAAUAUAAGGAUUCUAAAUAGGUUUCCUAGAAACUUUUAUAUGCUUCAAACAUUUUGAAUCCUUAGAAAGUUUUCAUUUAAAUUUUGUUUAGUGACAAUAUUCAACAUUUCAUAUGUUACAUUUUCAAGUGUCUGGACUGCAAAUCAAAUAAGUUUUACACUUAUCAAGAUGCAUCCUUUCAUUCCACUUGGUAAAUAUUUCUACGCCAGCAUGCUUAAAUAAACAUAGAAUUUAGAUCCUCGUAAUCUUUUACAAUAUUGCAUCAAUAUUGUAUCAAAUAUAUCAUCGAUGAUAUAUCAUUUCAUAUCCGUUCACAGUGUGACAUAAACAUUUUGAGAUCUCAUUACUUCGUUAUUUUCAGGUACCUAAACCUUUCAUAAGGAUUCAUGAAGUGUUAUGUCGUAGGCUCUUCAAGAACACAUUGCCUUCUUAUUAUGAUUAUUUGCUCCUAAUCAUUUCAAGGAUUAUUUCAUUUGAAACCGAUUAGUCUACCACGCUUCAUGCAUGCAUAGAUUUUAUCCUUUAAGAAUGCAAAUAGGAUCACUUGUAGCUUAAAUAUAAUACUAAAUUUGAGUCAACAUAUGCUUCCGACAUUUGACUUGAAUUAUCUUUUGAACGAGGAUCCGAUGAUAAUUCCUAACAUAUUUCAUAGCUACUUAUAAUCUCCCCCUUAUGUUAGGAAAACCAACAUUUACCCCCCAUCAUCAUUGAGGAAUUCAUCUUUGUGCAUCAUGGUAUAUUAUUAAUUGUAUACUGCAUAUCAUACUAUUAGAUGGAAUAGUUGGUUCCUGACCUUGAACCAAUUGAGAGGGAAGAAAUAAUCAUAAUUUAAUUUAUUGGUCUAAGGCAUACAAGUGUUAUUGUAUGCAACAUAUCAUAUUUCAGACCAACACAUGAAGCUUUGUUCUUAUUAGAAAUGAUUUAGCUAUUUAUCGAAGGCAUUCAAUGUCAAACCAUCAUCAUCAAGAUUGUCUUGAUUACACAAUCUGAAAGUUAUGCUCUUAACUCAAUUUUUUUGAGAAAGAAACUUUAUGAAUGUCAAACUGCAGCUUGACAAUGAAUGUACAUGUGAUUAUCUUAUAUCGAUACAUCUUAAUAGAUCGCAUGACUGGUGAACGGUCCCAUAUUUACCUUUUAUACUUUUCAGUUUUUGAGGGAUCAAAUCCAAACAUUAGUUGGUCCAACCAACUUAUUAUGAGAACAAACAACAUAAACAAUUCUUGAAGAAUCUUUUAUUUCUUUAACAUAUGUCUAGUACUCAAUAUGCGCAUCUUCAUGAUGGCAAAUCAUUUAUAUCAAUAGAUUAAAUGAUUUGUAUUAGUAACUCCAAGUUACCAUAACAUUUACAAAAAUUCUUUAGCAAACAUCAGGUUUACUAUUGCAUGAAUUUCGUAUCAAUAAACAAUAAACUCUUAGUUUAUUAUGGCGUGUGAUUUCAUCAUGCUUGGGUAAAUUUUCACAUUCUGUUUCUUAUCAACUUGAAGAUAUUCAAUCUUUCAAUUAUUCUACCUCUUUUAGAGGUGGAUUGUGAUAUCUUCACAACAAAGAAUACGUUCGAGUGUAUAUACAGUCACAUUCACCUCCAGGGUAUAGAUCUGUAUUUAUAAUAAUUGAAAUUCUCAUUUUCAGGAAUGAAAUAUAAUCAUGCCUUAAUCAUUCUUAUUCCCAGGAAGAAUGAAAUAUAAUCAUGCCUUAAGCGUAUCAAAUUAUGAUAGCUACUUCAAAAACAAAUUGAGGCAUACAUAUGAUUUAUUGCUACCAUAUUCAAUUUAAGAAAUGGAGCAUAUUUAGUGGAAUAUGUUUCAUUACUUUUCACCAAAUACCCAUUAUUUUGCCCGAGCCAUCAUAAUAUCAUCAAUAUAGUACAUUGAGAUUCAAACUCAACGUUUUAUCCAUAUAAAGGUGUCUUAGGCAUAAAUCAAUGAGACUUGAACCUAACAUAUUAUCAUGAUCCCUUUCGAUAAUAUUGUUCUUGAUAAAUAAAUUUAAAACAUAAUGGAUCCAAACCAAUUAUUUUUCCUCAAAUCCAACAAUAAUUAUAUUAUUAGUAGCAAAAGACGAAUAACAUAAGGAAUUACUAACCUUGAAAUUCUUUAGAUUUAUAAUCUCACCUAUUUGACAGAGUCUCGUGCUGAUAACGUAUUAUAAAAUAAUAAAGAACAAAGAAAAAGAGUAGAGAGAAGAGAGAGACUUCUUUAUUUCUCUUGAGGGAUGAAUUAUAANNNNNNNNNNNNNNNNNNNNNGUAGGGAAAAACUAACCUUGGGGUUUGUAACUUUUUCAUAAAUAGACAUACACAAUAUAUGGUAAAGUAGGUAUUCACUAUAUAUGGUAAGUAGACAUUCACUAUAUAUGGUAUAUUUAUAACAGUUUCAAUUUACUUGUUCAAUUUAUAAAAUUAAGAUGAUACGGGACAAAUGGCCAUCUUAUCUUUUGAUGACAUCUUUAGAGGCCAACACAUAGAGGCUCAAGACUUGGUCACCUUGAGGAUACGAGAACAUGCAUGGAGGACCCAUUUUGAGCAUGCCAUUAAACAAAUCCGUGUGUGAAAGAUUGUGUGGGGGCUUACAUUUGAUGCCAAUUUGAGACUAUAAGUUUUGAAGUGUGACCCCAUGGUUUUGGAGCAUUGAAUAAGCACCCUUCAUUAAGGGUAUUUUGGGGUUUUCACAUGUUAAAGAAAUAACCCAUGACCUCUCCUUUCAUUAAGGGUAUUUUGAUCCAUUAUACUAUGUAAUAAGCUAGGUUAUAUAGUCUCUUAUUAGGUCUUUUCUCUUUAGUUUAUGAAAGAUGAAAGAUUGAAACACUUGAAAUCCUCUCUCUUGAGAGUAUACCACCUUAGAAUAGUCUUAGUUAGGACUUGAAAAAGUCAUCCUUAGUAUAGGGCUUGGAAAAGCCAAUAUUGUUCUUUGCUUGGAAACGAUGGAUCUUGAGGUGAGUCGAUUACAUUGGCGGUCAUCGUAAGAGUGUGAUUUUGAUUAUUAAAUUCAUUAGGGGUUAAUGUUGAAAUACACUUGGUUCUUAAUCUUGUAAUAAUCUUGGUCUCACUAUCUAUCCUUUCAUUAUUUUGCAAAUCCGUGUGUUUUGUGUUUGUCAUCUUAUAUCCCUUUGUAUUGCUUGUUCUUCUCACGUUUUCUGGACUGUUUUGGCUUCUUGGUAGAUUGAUUUAUAUCAUUUGGUAUCAAAUCCAUCAUUGAUUUCGUUCCCACGAGAUCAAUCUUGGGUUUGUUCACUCAAAAAAAAUUGUUGAAAAGCUGAAAAACUCAAAAAUAGUAAUCUGUCCACGUUUUUUUGUUUAGGCCAAAAUUUGAAGCCUAGUUUUCUUGUGAUUUUUGUGUGUUUUGUGUGUUCUAGUGUUAGAUCUUUGUUUCCUAACAUUAGAAGAGGUGUUCAAGUUCGAAAAUCUCACAAAAAGAAGUUAUUCUACGGGUUUGGUGUCUUGGCCGAAGUGUUGUUAUUGUUUGACCGAAUUUGUGUCUAGAUUUAGGUGUUGUUUUGAUUGUGUUUGUUGUUUCUUGUGUUGGUUUUCUUUCUCUCUAACACUAAUUGAGUCUAACCCAUGUUUUUGAGCAAAAAAAAAUGCAAGUUAUUGUGGGAAGAGUGGACGGUUUUGUUGUUGUUGUUGUUGAAGUUCUUGUGUUGUGUUAAAGAAGUCUAGUAAAAGGUUGUUGUUUGAUCCAAAUUCAAAGGGAAGAGAGUGUGGGCUCUUUUUAGUCUUGAAAAAACUUUCAAGAAAUUACCAAAGAGGAAAAAGAACAAAAGACCUCCCAAAAGUCUUCAUACCAAAAGGGAGUAAGUUCAUUUUUCUAGACAAGCCAAAAGAGGAAAGGGGGACAAGACCUCUAAAAAGUUGUCUUGCCAAAAAGGUGAAAGUUGGUCAAAGUUUGAAUUUUGAGAAAAAGGACUUAAAGUCUUGUUUUUUAACCUACCAAAACCGAAAUUCCCACCAUCUUUGUGAAAUUUGAACAACCAAAAUUGUGAAACAAAAUUUUUCAACUUCAAUAAUUUUUUUUGUCCAUCGACCAAUAGUCAAGUGCCACAUCAUCAAUAACUCAAGAACGUUGGAAUUCCUAGUUUCACUUUUUUGAUUCUAUUGGUUUCCAUUUUGUUAGUUCUCAUACUAAUUAGCAAACUAGUAAAUACCUACUAGAUUGUAGAUUAGUUUUUGAGUAUGCUUUCUUUCGUGUUAAGCGUUGUAUUUUGUGCUUUUAUCGUUUAUAAGUUGUAGUAUUUUCUUUGUUUCAAGUUCGUAAGUAAAUUUUAUUUUUGUGUCUUGAGUCGAUCAAACAAAAAUCCAUUCUGACCGCCAAGUAGAAUUGACAUCCUAUUGACUACCAGAGUAUAAGCAACUUUCAAUAUUUGUCGCUCCAAUUGUGAGAAUCACAAAGGUGGGUGUAUACGAGUGUUGGUGAGGAGCUUUUNNNNNNNNNNNNNNNNNNNNNNNNNNNNNNNNNNNGGAACAUGUCUUCAAUAGCCGGGGAUUAUUGUGACUACAACAUGGGAGACUAUGAUUGUAGUGAGGGGUUUUAAGGCUACGAAGUUGAGGGAGAUUGCGGAGGCUAUAAAAAUAGCCAUGAUCAAAACUUGGGCAGAUUUGAGAGUUAUUGUUUUGAGGGAUAAAAUAAGGUGAAUGAAGUGCCUAGGGCUUAUGGUGAACUUGGAGAUUAUGUAGGACCUCAUGAUAGAUCUUAUGAUGACAUUGAGGCAUGUGAGGAGUCUUACACUUCUCAGUCCAAACCUAGAUUUGGUGUUAGGUAUAACCCUUUCGUUCGCAAAGCUUAUGAGAGCUAUGAUGAGAGUUCACGUGAGGAGUGUGAAGAUUCAUAUUCUCCACCUAGUAGUACUUAUUAUCAAGGUUGAUAUAGGGUGAAUGGUUAUACUACUCUAGUGGAGGUUGUCCAACGAGAAGAAGAGGGUAUGCAUCUCCGAAAUUGAGGGGUACUCGUGUUCUUUACAAUGUUGAUCCGAGAAGGAGUGUACACUCCAGAAAGGUGACCAUUUGUGGGAUACUGGGCUUCCUCGUUGUGUUAAAUGAUAGGUACUAUAGUAACUACAUCGUUCCAUCCAUGGUUGACUACUUGGGGUUGUUUCGCGAGACUUUACUUGUUUCAUAUUUCUUGGAUGGGUUUAAGGUUACCAAAAGGGUCAAAGUUGUCUUCUCCCAAUUUGAAUACCAUAAGAAGGUGUGGUGCGAUAUUCUUCCAUUGACAUAUAGUUAUGUAUGCUUAGGUGCUGAUUGGUUUGCACAACAUAGAGUUCCAAAUGUGCAAAAUUAGCCUAAUGUUGUAGAGAUCGGUGGGGAAAUCACCUCGUUACAUACAUGCUGCCCGAGCCGCAAACAGAAGUAAAUACUUACUACAAUCCAAAUGCUUAUGAGAUACAAAAGAUUGAGAGGAGUAAGGGUGUGCAAGGUGGUAAUCCGUGAGUGGAAAAAGAAGAGGUUGUGUGGAGUGAAGUGAGAGGAUUGCCACCAAACUGCGCUAACAUUGUUUUUCCUUCUAUUUCUACGAACAUUUGUGUAGGUACCGACAUGGCAAGUGAAAGAGCGUAAUGCCGAAGUAAAGUUGCUGCCCAAGCUUGUAGAGGACCUUCACAACAUAGCAAAGGAGAAUCGACUCAAGAACUUCAAGGUAAAAUAGCUAAUUCUUACACUUUUGUGCAUGUGAAUGAUAAUUGUGUGGCUAGUAGCCCAGUGAGUGUAAGUAGUAGCUUACUUAAUUGUGAGUCUAAUGAUUCUUUGACUUUUGUUGAUGAUGUACAUGUUGUGAGUGUGGAUACACUAAUUGAUCCUAUUGAUGACCAAAUUGACUCUUCUUGUAAGAUCAAUUUAUGCCCACCUAGUGUUGAAGCCUAUAUGUUGAACGAAAGUACAUUGUCUUGUGUCAUAGGUGUUGAUCAACCUAUUUGUAAAAAUUGUCCACCAUUUGAGUAUGUGUGUGAUGUGAUUAAUCAAACUCAAGUGAGUGAAGUAUUUGAAAAAGUUGGUCAACAAAAGGGGAGUGAACUCGAAAGAUAUUCUUGGGAUAAUCUUGUGCUUGAAACCGUUUUGAAACUUGAUAUUGAUCUCUUAGAGAGUGAGGAACUUGCUUGUUCCAAAUCUGCCCAUCGGUUAGAUCAUGCACUCAUUAGGCAUAAUGUCUUCUUUGAAAAUGAUAUAAACACUCCUAAUGAGCCUAAUGGUGAAAAAGAUAGUAUAGCUUACCUUGGAGGCUAUAGCCUAUAUGUUAACCCACAUGGUGUAACAACAUUUCUCCUAAAUAUGGAAAUGUCUUCUUGGAAGAUGAGAGUAGUCUUAAGGGUAAGGAAUGUGUAGUCCUAGAAGUUACUCCUUCUACUUUGUGUGACUUUAUUGUUGAUACUACUCAUGGUGAUAAUUGGGAAACUCGUAGUGAGUAUACACAUGAGGUCACCUUAGUAGAAGUCGACUUGAGAGAUACUUUUCUCUACUCUCUAUUUUCUUUUGAUGAUAUGUAUGCUAUUGUAGAGAGUAUGUCAUUUAGUUUGGGUAGAGACCACGGGAAAGGGGAGUGUUGUCUAGACCCGUGUCUAUGGCCACUCUUCCCGGUUGACCCCGGUGCCAAAUAUAAAAUGGUGAUGUUGGUGCACCCAACUUGUUGCUUGGUCUACAUGACAAACAAAGUGUCACUUUU
rnacentral:lncRNA from 1 species